rnacentral:lncRNA from 1 species
GUGUGUGUGUGUCUGUGAUCAGUUGACCGACCCUCUGCAUGGAUGGGGGCCGGGGGGUUUUAUAGACGAACCCACCGGCCUACAAUAUGGAUAAAGGGUACAAGAGUGGGACCCGGCUGGCAGCCUCGCCGGUUGGCCAGAGGGCCCGCGGGGUCCUUGUCUUGUCGCUUGAGUGGCCCGCCAGCUGCGAGGUCCCGUUUGGCUGUGGGACCCGCCGGCCAGCCAAUGAGGCUCUCGCGUAAGGUUGAUGCAGGACACGUGUGUUACGUCUAGCAUCGUCGAGCGAGAUUCGUCAUGGGCAGACAGUAUGGCCGCCUCCACUGUUCCCACGCCGAGUGUAGUAAUGGUGUGGGGGUUUGACGAGCCGACACUGUGCUGGGUAAUGGAUCAGAGCCGAGGGAGGUCAGCAGCGUGGCCGUCGACGCUGGUACCCAUCGUGAACUCUAAUCCAGUAUCUUUGCUGACGCGUAGCCACCUUUGAUCGUAGGGUCUCGUCAUGACCUACGAUCUGAUGUGACUGGAGAUCCCCGGCCGUCUAGCCUACUCGACUAGCCGGCCUGGGCACGUCCGCCUCUUUCCUAACCGGCUGGCUUGGCCUAGGGGGCCAGGGAGAGGAAGCCGUCUUGCCUCUAGCCGGCAGGUGCUUCCUCGCCGACCAGAGAGUUGGCCGUCUCGCCUCCCAGCCGGUAGGUGUUGCCUAGCCGGCCUAGAGACUUGGGCCUUGUUGAAUGGUUUUGGGUCAUUCCUUCUGGGCUGGAGAUAAAGGAGAGGGCUCGUUGAGCCUACCCCGGGGUUAUCCCCCCGACACUCUAUAUAUAGUGGCGGCCCCAGUCCUCUUCCCUUAUCGUCUCGACAGGAAGGGAUCCCACAAUGGCCAAUUUUGAAGGGGAAUAGGGGAACAUGCUCCCCUCCCCAAAGGUAGUCUUCGCGUGCAAAGUGGCUGUCAGCGCAGCAGGGACGGGUCCAGGGAUGAAGUUUGUCCUGCUGGCGGCGGCGAUGGCCUUAUUGCACAAGAAAGGAAACCUUUGGAAGAUGCCUUGGGAACCACGGUUCCUCCUUGCCCCCUUUGCACUAGAGGGGAAACUGCUCCGUCCUGUCGUCUGUUGCUCGCCUGUCCUUCUUCCGCGUCAUCCUUGACUCCUGAGGCCGGGUCUUGCAUGGGAAUAUCCACCGCUCCUGAGGGGUCCUGAUGAGGCCCCCUUCGGGUCUUGAUGUUGUUCCUCCUCGCAAGGCUUGGACCCUCGCGAGGACCUUUCCUUGGGUGGUGCCACGCCCGGUUGUGCCUGCUUUAUGAAGUGGGCCAGCUCUGGGCACACGCAGGCAGGUCUGGGUACCCCAUUCCUAGAACGCCGACAGUAGCCCCGGGGCCCAAGGACGCGUGGGUCGCUUCUCGGCGAAGCCUUGAGGGUAGCCUGAAGCGUCGCGGGCCCCGAAUGCAUGCGGGCCAGGCGGCACACGUGUCCAGCCGCCAUGCGGCGACGCUUUCACUCCCCAAGGUAUACGGGGUGCAGCAGACCACGAUGGCACGACCUCCACGAACCGCAUCGACCAUCAUUGUUACUCAUUGAAUGGCAUCAGCGCGGCCGGCCCACGCCCAACGGCCCUCACGGAAGUGACUGAUCGGUUGUCAGGUGAGGUGACAUGGGCGGCAAUGCGCGUGCCGUCCCACCCCGCGACACCCAAGGGGCGUGCAACGCUCGCGCUUCCACGACUCUUGGUGGCCCCGGUUCGCCUAUAAAUCUGCCCCGCCCCUCGCAAGGGGGAGGCACUACGAUCUUGAGCUUCCUCUUUGCUUCCUUUGCUCCGCUGAGAAAAACCUCUUCUCUUCUUCGUUUCUUCGUCUUCCAUGGCAUCUCCAGGAGGCGAUCCUGGAAAGGGGAAACACGCGGCUUUGGCUGCGCCCUCGUCCGCCCCCGGGAGCAGCGGCGGAGGUCCCUUAGGGUCGCCGCGCGUCCGCCAUCGGUGGGCUCUGACUGAUGAGUAAGUCCUUCGUCUGCACCUCCUUUCCUUGUUGCCCCAUCCGCUGCUUGGUGGUUGAUCUUCCCUUUUCUCCAGGGUGCCCGCAUCCAAGAAUCUCAAGCUCGGCGAGCUUCAGGAGGAGGCGGAGGGGGUGCAGGCUCAGCUCGAGAGUGUCGAGGCCGCCCUCCAGGCCGUCCGCCAGGGCAAGGCGGAGUUGGCGUCUCUGCAGAGACAGGUCCAGGAGGCGGCCGACACCGUUCAGGCCGCCCAGGACGAGGCAGCGUAUGCCCGGAUGAUGGAGUCCCAGCGUGCCAAGUUGUUUAAGAGCAUCACCGGCCAGGCGGCAAGCGCGAUGCGCCGAUUCGUGGGGGAUGCCUCGGCGCUGCCAAAGGUGAGUAGUGACGGGGGCUACCUCGCCUUCUUCCAGAAGGUGGUGGAGACGCUGGAGGCCGGCAUCUCCCGCGUGGAGGAGGACAACGCGUCCGACGCACACGAGCUUCUGGGCCUUGCCUUGAUGCUCGUCUUCUCCAACCUGCACCGGCUCGUCCCAUAGCUUGAUCUCCAGCGCAUCGUCGAGCCGGUGCCCGCUGAGCUCCGGCAUCUUCCGGGACGAAGUGCGCCCGCGCAUGGACGCCCUAGUGGAGCGGUACGUCCGAGUGCCCGUCUCCAGUGAGGAGGAGGGCUCCGACACUAAGCCCGCCGAUGCCAACGACGGUGUCGGCGGCCACUCACCGUAGGCGUCCCCCAACUUCUGUUUUCCUGCCCGUGUAAUGUUGGACCAUGAACUCUGCUCUAUCGGGCGUUAGACUGUUGUAUCUUACCUUCGCCGUUCUCCGUUUUUCCUUUCGCUCUUGAAUUGAUGGCUUGCUCGCUGGUAGUUGCUGCGGCUUGGCUUCCUUGCAUAGGGCCCGUCACUGACCCAGCCAUUGCUCGGGGGCAACGGCGGCCAGGGGCCCUCAGGUCGUCCCAUCCGCCCAAGGCAUUGUUUGUCCUGCUACAUGCUUGGUCGAUGGCCUCGUUCCUCGCCGCAGCUUCAUUCUUAGGCCCUGCAUCCUUUCGUUAGUUCGCGUGUUUUUAAUUCGUUCUUGGUUUGACGCGAAAUCAGAUGGACCCCGUCUGGGCCUGCGGGGUACUUAGCUCGUGGGUUUGCGCCGGUCCCUUUCAUAGCUCCUCCUAAGUAGCUCCUCCUUUGUAGGUGGGACGGGGUGGAGACCCUUUCGGCACUCUAUGUCUGCGGGUCCCGGUCCCGCACAUUUCCCUACUGCCGCGAGGCGCAACCCGUUACCAAGGUUGUUCCUCAUGGGGAAAGGCCCCGACGCCCUGGGUGCCGACAUGGGCGACACCUUGGUGGCCGAGUGGCUUUGCGACUAUUAAGGCCCCUGAGGCAUGGUGCUCAGGAACCGCCCUUGACACUCAAGACGCUCUACGUCGACAGGCCCCGGUCCCGCACAUUUCCCCACUGCCGUUAGGUUCGAGGCACUUCAUUCGGUGGGGCCCCGUUGCCCCCGACACCGACUGGAGCUCCUUGACGGCACCAGGGGUGGCGAGUGGACUUAUGACUGGUAAGUCUCCUGCAACAGUGCCCAGGAGCCCCCUUUGGCACUCGAGCGAUUCCCAUUUCGUCCCUUGGGUCAUCGCCCCAGGGCACAGUGAGGCCUCCCGAGACUCUUUGUGCUGGUAUCGCGCUUCGAUCCGGGCCCCCGAGCGGGGGUCGGCCGCUGAAAAUGUUUGCCCCUGGGAUGGCAAGUCCUUGCUUUCAUGCUCCUUGGCGCCUAGGGGCGGUGCGGAGCAUUUAGCUCCUUAGAAAAUGUCAUCCAAAAAAGGAGGCUUCGAAUACGGCGAAACGAGAAAGCGCAAGAUAAAAUUUCCCCCGUUUUGGUUUUUCAAACAUCAACUUUUGAAAUCGACAAAUUUAAGUCCACGAGAGAAUAAUUUAAGUUCUAGGACGACGCAAGCAAACGCCGCAUCCGGCACCUAGACUAAUCUCCGCGGCCAUCUCCCCCAGAGUGGAGCAUAGGGCUUCCACUAGGCGUGGGAGGGACCCCUCCGCGUCCUUGGGGGGCCCCGGGCGUAUACAGCUGCUACGGUGACAGAAAUCCUCUAUCGUCUCUUGAGCUUGCGUUGAUUUUUCCCUUGAAGAGGAAAGGGCGAUGCAGCACAGGAGCAGUAAGUUUUGAGAAUCAAGGUAUCAAUCCAGUCGGAGAAUCUCGUCAAGUCCAGAGUACCUGCACAAACACAAAAGAGCUUGCACCCAACACUAUAAAGGGGUUGGCAAUCCCUUCAAGAUUGAUUGCAAAGUGAGAUGUGAAGGCAGAAAGUGCAACGAAGAAAAAGUGUAAGGCUGAAAAUAUGGUGUGAAGUAGACCCGGGGGCCAUAGUGUUCACUAGAGGCUUCUCUCAAAAUAGCAAAUAUUACGGUGGGUGAACAAAUUACUAUCGAGCAAUUGAUAGAACCGCCCAAAGUCAUGACGAUAUCUAAGGGAAUGAUUAUACAUAUAGGCAUCACGUCCGAGACAAGUAGACCGAUACUUUCUGCAUCUACUACUAUUACUCCACACAUCGACCGCUAUCCAGCAUGCAUCUAGUGUAUUGAGUUCAUGACGAACAGAGUAACGCCUUAAGCAAGAUGACAUGAUGUAGAGGUAUAAACUCAAACCAAUGAUGAAACCUCCAUCUUUUUACCCUUGAUGGCAACAACAUGAUGCGUGCCUCGCUACCCCUUCUGUCACUGGGUGAGGUCACCGCAUGGUAUGAACCCAAAACCAAGCACUUCUCCCAUUGCAAGAAUCAUAUAUCAAGCUGGCCAAACAAAACCCCCAACUCAAAGAGAAUUACAAGGAUAUGAAAUCAUGCAUAAGAGAGAUCAGAAGAAACUCAAAUAAGAUUCAUAGAUAAUCUGAUCAUAAAUCCACAAUUCAUCGGAUCUCGACAAACACACCGCAAAAGAAGAUUACGUCGGAUAGAUCUCCAUGAAGAUCAUGGAGAACUUUGUAUUGAAGAUCCAAGAGAGAGAAGAAGCCAUCUAGCAAGUAGCUAUGGACCCGUAGGUUUAUGGUGAACUACUCACGCAUCAUCGGAGAGGUCAUGGUGUUGAUGAAGACGCCCUCCGUAUCUGAAUCCCCCUCCGGAAGGGCACCAUAACGUGCCCGAGAUGGGAUCUUGCGGAGACAGAAGCUUGCGGCGGCGGAAAAGUACUUUCGAUGAUCUCCUGAUUUUUUCUGGAAUUAUUGGGAAUAUAUAGGCGAAAGACCUAGGGCAAAGAUGGCCCAGGGAGCCCACAAGCCUGGGUGGCGCGGGCCCCUUGGCCGCUGCUAGGGGACUUGUGGGGUCCCUGGUGGCCCCCUGCCUUGGUUCUCAAGCUUCCCGAUCUUCUUCUGUGUCGGAAAAAAUAUUUUUGGAAGUUUCGUUCCGUUUAGACUCCGUUUAAAAUCAUCCUCUAAAAGGGGUCAAAAACACGGAAUAAACAGUAACUGACACUUGGCACUGAGUUAAUAAGUUACUCCCAAAAAGAUAUCAAAGGCAUACAAAACAUCCAAAGUUUGAUAGGAUAAUAUCAUGAAACCAUCAAAAAUUAUAGAUACGUUGGAAACGUAUCAACAACCACAUCUCGUUAUUACAUGAGAGUGUGACGGGGGGUGUAUCUGGGACGUCGUGAGGAUGCUUUAUCCUCGAGAGUGUCCCUACCCCCGUGGCAUAGGCGCCUAAUUCCUUUUGAGUCUUCACCCAGGGCGGAGCAUAGGUCAUCCACUCGGCAUGGGAGGGUCCCCUUCUGCGUCCUCGGGGCGGCCUGGGCGUAUACAACCUCAGCUCUUUAUUACGUGACAGUGUCACAUGAUGAAGUAGAUUUCGGAAGGAUUGAAGGACGCCGCAGAGGUGCCCCGGGUUGAUGCAGGUCCCGCGGGGACUGUAGGGCAAACGCGAGGGCGCUCCGGCCUCACGAUGUUUCCUCCUUGGGGUCGGUUUGCCCCUGAUCCCUUCUGUAGAUAGGUCCCUUCAAGGCCCCGCCCACUCCUUCUCCUGAGACUGGUUGAGGGCCUUUCUGCUGCUCUACGUAGGCAGGUCCCAGUACCGCGCAUUUCCCGACCGCCGUUGCAUACGGCCGAAUGACGGACGCAACUACGGGGUCAAGCGCUGCCACCCAUGAUAACGACCAAAUGUCCGUGGACGACAUCAUGGGUGGCAGGUGGCCAUAUGACCGGUAAGGCUCCUGAGGCUCGAUGCUCACGAGCCCCCUUUGACGUUCGAGUGGCUCUGCGUCGCCAAGACCCGGUCCCACACAUUUCCCAACCACAGUUGCUUGUGACUGAAUGGACAAAUGAAGCUACGGAGUCAAGCCCUUCCACCCCUGAUAAUGACUGAAUGUCCGUGGACGGCAUCAAGGGUGGCAGGUGGCCUUAUGACCGGUAAGGCUCCUCAGGCUCGAUGCUCACGAGCCCCCUUUUGACGCUCAAGCGGCCCCCAUUUCAUCCUGUUGAUUGUGGACUUGGGAAGCCGCGGGGCCUCCCCAGGUCCCGCGACAGGGCGACACGCACCGACCGGAGCCCCCGAGCGCUUGAAGUUCAUGCGGGGGGGGGGUAGAUCGCCCAAAGAUGCAAGCAAGGUGAGAUGUCAGAUCACCGAAUGGGUGCAACAGAAGUUAUGGAAGCAUGCGUAAAUGAUAUGAUGGGUAGAGGUGUACCCUGAGCUCUUGAAGUUCAUGCGGCCAGCAGACAUCCCCUAGAGCAGUGAACCCAAAAAAUUACCUUGCAUAGCUUCUUCGCGCCUGAGGGGCGCCUCGUGAGGCCCGACCCUCGGCGCACACACCAGCACCGUUGUCGCCGCUGGUGACCCACGCCACUUCUUUCUCGUUGCUUACUUUGACUCGUCCUCCUGAGGCCGGGGACCCGGUUCUUCGUAGUUUCUCCGCGGGGGCGGCGGCUCGCGUCAUGCCCCGCGGCUUGGGGGCGCCUCCUUGCCCGUGCCUCUUGGGCCUAGUGCUCCGCCAGUGGGAGCUGUAGGGUCCGGCUCAAGGGGGACCCCCGGAGCGUUCCUCACUCCUGAGGAGUACUGGCGCCUGGGGUAGACGCUUGAGGCUCUACCUCGACGGGAGGGUUAGGUGGUGUUACAUAACACGGUACGUAAGGCUCAACGUAGGUGUUUGAUCGACCUCCAAGUCCGUUCACCAGUGCAACGGUGGCGGUCCCUCUCUAUGGCGGGGGGAGUCCCCCUCGGUCGCGUUGCUCGGAGAUCUUCUUGCGAUGGGCCUCCGCACAAAGUCGCUUGCUCCUGUUGUCGUAGUUGGGUGGUCCCGGCACUGCCCAGUGCAGACUCCCCCCUUGGUACCUUGGCGUGACUCCAUCGCCGUAGUUCGCCCUCACCGACGCCUCCGCCGCCCGCUGGCUGCGCCUGAGGGAGCGCUCCCGCCUGGCCGCCCCUAGUUGUGGGGGACCGACCUGGUUUUGGUGAUGCGCGCCGGUGUGUACAUUGAAUUUCCUGCCAUUCUCUUCGCGCCCCUGGUGAUUGACGGCAUGCUGCGCCUCGAGGCCGGCCACCGGAAUCUGUAGGAGGAGGAGGGCAGCAUGCGAUGCGUCUCUCUUGGCCCCACCCAGCGCAGGAGAGGCCCUUGGCGCCUGGCGCCAGCGGCCUUGAAGAAGAGUGGGGUCGGAUGGCCUCCUGGGUGAUGGCGAUCAGCUCUGUGAUGUGGUCCGCCCAAGCGUCGAAGCCCCCUUGCGUCGGUCGAUAGCAUAGCAUCUCGCUCGCCAUCUGCAGUGCGUCAUGCGCGCCGAGGUCCCCCAAGUUGAUGCAGCACGUCGUGGAUGCCGGGGACGCCCCACAGCCGGCGCGCGCCUGGGUGGCGCAGGUGGUUGCGGCGGUGGAGAUGAUGUUGACGAUCUGGUGCGAGCCGCCUGGUACCACAACGCCAAUACACGUUCUUUCGGCCGCUGUGGCACGAUGAUGGAAGACAACUCAACGAGGCUCGAAGAAGCUUGUUGGGCAUGGGUCAUCGGAGCAGCGGGACUUUGGGAAGAUGAAGCUCGGGGAAGACCUUGACACGCCCCUACCUGGCGCGCCAAAUGUCGGAUUUUGGGCUCCGCAAAACCCUAAGGAUUUACACUCAGGGGCUCGCCUCACCUAACUUGCUACUCGCUAGGGACGGCAGAGAACUCACUCGAUGGCGAGGAAGACACAUAACACGACAGUUUACCCAGGUUCGGGUCACUCUGAAGCGUAAUACCCUACUCCUGCUUUGGUGGAUUGCCUCUCGUGGAGGUUGGGGAUGAACUAGUAUAGUGUUUGAGGGCCUCCGGAGGCCUGGUGGCCUUUGUGUGGUGCCAGUGCAUGAAUGAAUGAAUUGGAUCCCCUCUAUGAAGUAACCUACUCUCUAUGUACAUAGUGGCGGCCCCGGUCCUCUUCCCUUAUCAUUUCGGCGGGAAGAGAUCCCACAAUGGCCAAAUUUGAAGGGGAUAGGGGAACGUGCGCCCCUGUCCAAAGGCAGUCUUCGCCUGCAAAGUGGCUGUCAGCACAGUUGGGGUCGGUCCAGGGAUGACGUCUGUCCUAGUGGCCGACGGCGAUGUCCUUGUUGCACCAAAAAGGAAACCUUUGGAAGAUGCCUUGGGAACCCUGGUUCAUCCUUGCCCCCUUUGCACUAAAGGGGAAACUGCUCCGUCCUGCUGUAUGCUGCUCGUUUGUCCUUCUUCCACGUCAUCAUUGACACCUGAGGCCGGGUCUCGUCUCGGAAUAUCCGCCGCUCUAGAGGGGUCUUGAUGAGGCCCCCUGCGGGUCUUGAUGUUGUUCUUCCUCGCGAGGCUUGGGCCCUUGCGAUGACAUUGCCUUGAGUGGUGUCGCGCCCGGUUGUGCUUGAUUGAUGAUAUGGGCCAGCCCAGGGCCACAUGUAGGCAGGUCUGGGUACCCCCAUUCCGAGAACAUCGACAACAUUAAUAUCAUGAACCCACAAUUUCUCUAUAUUUGCUACAUGAUGGUUUUAAUUAUCAAUCAUUGAAUACUCAUUAUUUUUGAUCUAGUCUUAUGACCCAUGCAUAUUACCGUCACUAUUUGUCUAGCUCUCAAACAAAUAUAAGUGAAGAAAGAUAGCAUGAUAUUUGUAUAAAACCUACACACCAUUGUUCUCAAAAAGAUAUAAGUAAAGUACUAGAGCAACUCCUAAGCUCAAAAGAUAUAAGUGAAUCACAUAGAGUAUUCUAACAAAUUGAAAUGAUGUGGUAUCUCUCUCAAAUAGGUGUGUAAAGCAAAAAAUAUUGUGGUAAACUGGAAGUAAAAACAAACAACAUCAAACCACGCUCCAAGCAAAACUCAUAUCAUGUGAUGAAUAAAAAUAUAGCUCCAAGUAACAUACCGAUGGAUUGAGACGGAAAGAGGGGAUGCCUUCUUGGGCAUCCCCAAACUUAGAUGCUCGAGUCUUCGUGGAAUAUUACCUUGGGGUGCCUUGGGCAUCCCAUCUUAUGCUUUUUCUACUCCUCAAUCCUUCGUCCAUCAGGAUAAUACCCAACACUUGAAAACUUCAGUCACAUAAAACUAGAAAAAAACUUCGUGGGAUACGUUAGUAUAAGCAACAUUUCAAAUACUUUCAGGGGAUGUUACAGGUUGAUUCUUGUUUGAUUUUAGCAUAGGGAACUGUAUCACAACUCCUCCAUAGCUUAUACCCCCUGAUACAAUACAUAGCAUCCUCAAAGCAAGCAAACUACGCAUGCAAAAGCACAAUCUGACUGAAAUAGAACAGUCUCUAGUAAUCUGUAAUGAACCUAUACUUAUGUAACUCCAAAAGUUUUGAAACAUUAGGACGACCUGAGUAAUAUUUAUAGAAAUACUGUGUAAAAAUUUCCAGCUUAAAAAUACGUACCAGUAAAAUCAGAGAAAUGCUGCACUUGACGUCAAAGUUUAUGUUUUUGCACCGUAUCAAUUCUACUCAUCAUACAAAUCAUCCCAAAGGCUUUAAUUUUCACAAACACUAACUAAAACAUAAAAACACAAGCAUUACGGAGGCAAUAAUCGUGUUAUCACAAACUAACAGAAAGUAAAAAGCAAAAAGAAAGAUAACAACUGGGUUUCCUCCCAACAAGCGCUAUUGUUUAUGCCCUAGCUAGGCAUAUUGCAUAGUUUCAAGUAUUGCCAUCUUUGACAUUAAGCUCAUUGAUCACACAACCAUGAGUAAGAGGAGGCUUAAGAAUAGAAUCCUUUAUCAGGUUUACAAACUUGGGAUGAACAUUAAUUGUUUUGAGGUCUUCGUUUCUUUUGGUGAGAGGUGUACUAAUGCUUUUAGGAACAAAUAUGAACUUGGGACUUUUGUCUCGAGAAGUACUAGCAAUAGUUUUAGAUGGUGUAAAGGCGGAACCUACUUUGUCAAUCACCUACUCCAUUUUAUCAAUUCUGCUCAAACCUUGUUCUACCCUCUCAUCAAUAAUAGUGUCCUUUUCCUUUAAGGUUUUCAAAGUCAUUCCUACACAUGACCCAAGUUGAGUGAUAUGAUUGUGCAAUUUUUUAUCUAACUCCUCAAUUGGUUCGUGAGUAACCAUUUUAUUUUCAAUAGCAUAAAUUCUUUGCAUAACAUGUUCCAAGGUUAAAUUGGUUUCAUUAGUGAUAAUGGGUGGUGUUCCAACAAGAUUUACAAUGGCAUUAUAGGCAUCCAAAGUGCGACACAUUACGAAAUUCCUACCGGUGAUGGUGUCAAGGACAAACCUAUGCCAAGUUAUCAUACCAACAUAAAAAUUAUGGAGCAAGGUAGUAGUGGAUAGCCUAUUAGUUGCUUUAUUUUGAGCAUAGAAAAUCCUAUAUCAUGCAUCUUUCAAACUUUCUCCUCCCCUUUGUUUAAAAUUGACAACAUCAUUAUUGAGAGUAAGGCGAACAAAGGAAGAACUAGCCAUGACUUCGAACAAGAAGACAAGUAUCAAGCGAAGAUAAAUAUUUUCGUAAUUUAUUUUUUAUUAGACAAACUAAAUAUACCAUCAAAUAAAAAACAAGAACGAGUGAAUGAAAUAUUGUGUGGAAUUACUUGGUAGUUGGUAAUGAUAUUCCCCAGCAACAUCGCCAAAAAUACAUCCUGAUACUUGUGAUGUGCGUUGGGUUUUCUGUGAAGAGGAACGGCUUAUCAUAGCACAAUGUGGGUAAGUAUUUCCCUUAGUUAUGGAACCAAGGUUCAUCGAACCAAUAGGAAUAUCAACCACAACUGUCUUCAGCGGAUGCACACAAAAGAACAAACAACUUGCACCCAACGCGGGCAAGAGGGUUGUCAAUCCUCUUGUGUUGUUAUUUGCAAGCAAGUGAGGUGUAUAGAUAAUUGCAGAUAGCAAUAUAAAAUAAAAACAAGUAAAUGGCAGCAAGGUGUUGAAGGUUAUAUCAAUAUGUUUUGAAUAGACCCGGGUGCCAUAGCUUUCCCUAACGACAUCUCUCAUGAAAACUAGCAUACGGUCGGUAAACAAAUUACUGUUGGGCAAAUGAUAUUCUAGGCAAUGAUCAUGUGUACAUAGGCAUGACGUCCAUAAAAAAAUAGGCAGACUCCUUCAUGCACCUAUAAAUAUUACUCCACUCAUCGAUCACUAUCCUGCAUGCAUCUAGAGUAUUAAGUAAAACAAAGUAACGCAUGGAGAAAAACGACAUGAUGUAGACAAAGUAAACUCAAUCAAUAUGAAUAAACCCCAUAUUUUUAUCCUUAGUAGCAGCAACACAAAUAUGCAUCUUGCCCCUUCUGUCACUAGGUUAUAGAAAUUCGCGAGGUUAAACCUACUUCAACACACCUCUCUCACCGAAGAAAUAUCUAUCUAGUUGGCCAAACUAUUUCAAUAGAUGAGAGAGAACUACGAAGCUAUCAUAAUCAUGCACAUAGAAAUGAUAUAAGAAUUACAGGAGACUCAAAUAUUUAUGAUGAAUAAUCUGAACACAAACCUAUAAUUUAUCGGAUCCCAACAAAUGCACCGCACAAAAGGAAUUACAUCAUAUAGAUCAAAGCGAAGAUGCGAUGAUCAUUGUAUUGAUGAUCAAAGAGAGAGAGAGAGAUUCCCAUCUAGGUAUUGGCUAUGGACCCGUAGGUCUGAGGUGAACUACUUACACAUCAUCAUGAGGGCAGCAAGCUUGAUGAAGAGGCCCUCUGUGAUCGAUCCCCCCUCCGGUAGGGUGUGGAAUGGAGCUCCAGAUGCCUCCCGUCAGGACAGAGACUUGCAGGAGCGUAAAAAGUGUUUCGGGACUCCCUAUGAUGUUUUUAGGGUAGAUGAGAAUUUAUAAGUGAGAGAAUGGAGUGUGGAUGGCCAUGAGGGAGGCACAAGCCAUGAAGGUGCCCCCAGGUCAUGCCCUCUUGUCUUGUGGCCCCCUCAUGAGGCCUUCAGCCUUCUUCCGAUGGUUGUUGGUAUUCUAUUGUUCUAGAAAAAAUCACUAAAAGUUUCAGGGCAAUUGGACUUCAUUUGGUAUGGAAAACCUAAAAAGGGAAAACACGCAGAAAACAACAACUGACAAUGGGCACUUGGUCAAUAGGUUAGUGCACAAAAAUAAUAUAAAUUAUAAGUAAAUACCCCAAAAGUAUUCUAGAAUGAUAAUAUAUCAGCAUGUAAAAAUCAAAAAUUAUAGAUACGUUGUAGACAUAUCAACCAUCCCCAAGCUUAAUUCCUACUCGUCCUUGAUACGUCUCCAACGUAUCUAUAAUUUUUGAUGGUUUCAUGCUAUUAUCCUGUCAAACUUUGGAUGUUUUGUAUGCCUUUUAUAUCUUUUUGGGACUAACUUAUUAACUCAGUGCCAAGUGCUAGUUCCUGUUUUUUCUGUGUUUUUGACCCCUUUCAGAGGAGGAUUUUAAACGGAGUCCAAACGGAACAAAACUUCCAAAAAGAUUUUUUCUGAAACAGAAGAAGAUUGGGAAGCUUGAGAACCAAGGCAGGGGGCCACCAGGGACCCCACAAGCCCCCUAGACGUAGCUAGGGGGCCCGCGCCUCCCAGGCUUGUGGGCUCCCUGGGCCACCUCUGCCCUAGGUCUUUCGCCUAUAUAUUCUCAUAAAUUCCAGAAAAAAUCAGGAGAUCAUCAAAAUUACUUUUCCGCCGCCGCAAGCUUCUGUCUCUGCAAGAUCCCAUCUAGCGCAUGUUCUGGUGCCCUGCCGGAGGGGGGAUUUGGAUACAGAGGGCUUCUUCAUCAACACCAUGACCUCUCCGAUGAUGCGUGAGCAGUUCACCACAGACCUAGGGGUCCAUAGCUAGUAGCUACAUGGCUUCUUCUCUCUCUUGGAUCUUCAAUACAAAUUUCUCCAUGAUCUUCAUGGAGAUCUAUCCGAUGUAAUCUUCUUUUGCAGUGUGUUUGUCGAGUUCCAAUGAAUUGUGGAUUUAUGAUCAGAUUAUCUAUGAAUCUUAUUUGAGUUUCUUCUGAUCUCUCUUAUGCAUGAUUUCAUAUCCUUGUAAUUCUCUUCGAGUUGUGGGUUUUGUUUGGCCGGCUUGAUAUAUGAUUCUUGCAAUGGGAGAAGUGCUUGGUUUUGGGUUCAUACCGUGCGGUGACCUCACCUAGUGACAGAAGGGGUAGCGAGGCACGCAUCAUGUUGUUGCCAUUAAGGGUAAAAAGGUGGGCUUUUCAUCAUUGGUUUGAGUUCAUCCCUCUACAUCAUGUCAUCUUGCUUAAGGCGUUACUCUGUUCGUCAUGAACUCAAUACACUAGAUGCAUGUUGGAUAGCGGUCGAUGUGUGGAGUAAUAGUAGUAGAUGCACAAAGUAUCGGUCUACUUGUCUCAGAGGUGAUGCAUAUAUGUAUGAUCAUUGCCUUAGAUAUCGUCAUAACUUUGCACGGUUCUAUCAAUUGCACGACAGUAAUUUGUUCACCCACCGUAAUUUUUGCUAUUUUGAGAGCAGCCUCUAGUGAACUCUAUGCCCCCCGGGUCUACUUCACACCAUAUUUUCAGCCUUACACUUUUUCUUCGUUGCACUUUCCGCCUUCAGAUCUCACUUUGCAAUCAAUCUUGAAGGGAUUGACAACCCCUUUAUAGCAUUGGGUGCAAGCUCUUUUGUGUUUGUGCAGGUACUCUGGACUUGACGAGAUUCUCCUACUGGAUUGAUACCUUGGUUCUCAAACUGAGGGAAAUACUUACUGCUCCUGUGCUGCAUCGCCCUUUCCUAUUCAAGGGAAAAACUAGCGCAAGCUCAAGAGACGACAGAAGAUUUUUGUCGCCGUAGCAGUCCUCAAGUAGGUAAAUGAUAAAAAAAAUUGAUGUGGCAUGCUAUCCUUGAUGUAAUCUUAUGCAGGUAUGCUCAUGGAGAAAAAAUGAAUUAACAAACAUUAACAUAGCAAUACUUAUAGGUAUAAGGAACAAAUCAUUAAUCAUUUAAAAUAUAUGAUCCUCAAAGAUUGUUUUACCCCCCAUCAAUCAUUAUUAUAUUAGCAAGGCAUGGCUCCAUCUUCACCACAUUAAUACAAAUUUCAAGCUCCACGGUGUCCAAGUCAGGCAAUUGGAUCAUACUUUUUCAAUAUGCAUGAACUUUAUAUUCUUCUCGCAAUACAUGAGCAUCAACCAUUGGGCAUAGCAUAAAGGUGAAAUAGAAUAUGGUGGUAGGUUUCAAACGGGUAAAAUGGAGAAUAUAGGCUCACAUCAACUAGGCGUACCAACAAGCUAUGAGAUGCCCGUCGAUAGAUAUCGAUGCGAGGAGUAGGGUAUGAUGCAAAUGAUGCACAAGAGCUAUGAGUGUAUGAAAGUUCCACUCAAGUUAUGUGGGGUGUGCAUCCAACUAGCUUGCUCAUGAAGACCUCGGGCAUUUAAGGAAGCCCGUCAACAGAAUAUACAAGCCAGGUUUAUGAAAAAGUGAUUCCCUCUAGCAUAAUAAUAAUAUAACAUGAGACUCUCUAUAAGAAGAACAUGGUGCCACUUUGAAGCAUAAGGGUGGUAAAGCAUAGUCUCAAAGUCCCUUCUCUCUUUUUCCCUCAUUAAUUUUUUCCUUAUGGUGGGAUCAUUUGGCCAUCCCCAUUUUUAUUUCCUCACUGGGACAAAGCUGUAAUAAUGAUGAUCAUUACACUUUUAUUUACUUAGAACUGAACAUGGAAGCUUAUAGGACGAUAUGACUCUGAAUGAAUGCCUCUCGCAGUGUACCAGGAUGUGCUAAGAUCUAGUGUGACAUGUAUCAAAAAUAUGAUGAACGGUGGCUUUGCCACAAAUACUAUGCCAAGUCCAUAUUAUCAGGCAAAGCAUUAUAAUUAUGAAUGAACUAGUCAUGUAAGUGACGAUGGCAUUUGCAUGGCAAUAUAUCUCGGAAUGGCUAUGGAAAUGACAUGACAGCUAGAUAUGGUGGAUGUUUUGAGGAGGAUAUAAAAAGGUUUAUGUGCAAUAGAGCAUGUCAUGUCACCGGGUUUGGAUGGACCGGCGAAAUUUUCACUGAUCUUCAAUGUGAGAACGGGCAAUGCAGGAUACCGAAGAGGCUAGAAAAUAUGAAGAGGUGAGAGUGCGUAUGUCCAUGGUGUCACAUUAGUCAUGAAUAAAUCAUAUACUUACUGCAAAGUUUUGUUAUUUCUAUCACAAUUCAAAGUACUACUCACAUGAGGUAGAGGGUUGGUAGGAAUUAACCAUCGCGCGACUCCGACUCAAAACAACACAAGGAUUUCCAUGAGGAAUAGAAAUGCUCACACAUCAUCACCAUGCCUUUUAAAUUUUUUAGAUGAACAAGAAGUUUAACAUCUCUUAAUAUCGACACCUCUCUGAAAUAAUAAUAAUGCAAUCCCACCUUUUUUCAUAUCACUACAUCAAUAUCAUUAACUCACAAUUUCUCUAUAUGUGCUAUAUGAUGGUUUUUAUCGUCACUCAUUGGAUACUCAUUAUUUUUGAUCUAGUCUUAUGACACAUGCAUAUUAACAUCACUAUUUGUCCAGCUCUCAAACAAAUAUAAGUGAAGAACGAGACCAUAAUAUUUCUAUAAAAUCUACACGUCACCGUGCUAAAAAAGAUAUAAGUGAAGAACUAGAGCAACUGCUAAGUUUAAAAGGUAUAAGUGAAGCACAUAGAGUAUUCUAACAAAUCGUGAUGAUGUGGUAUGUCACUCAAAUAGGUGUGUCCAGCAAGCAAUGAUUGUGGUAAACUGAAAAUAAAAGCAAACAAAAGGAAACAACACUGCAAGCAAAACUCAUAUCAUGUGAUGAAUAAAAGUAUAGCUCCAAGUAACAUAUCGAUGGAUUAAGACGAAAAGAGGGGAUGCCUUCGGGGGCCUCCCCAAGCUUUGACGCUUGAGUCUUCCUAGAAUAUUACCUUGGGGUGCCUUGGGAAUCCCCAAACUUAUGCUUUUGCUCCUUGAUACGUCUCCAUCGUAUCUACUUUUCCUAAUGCUUUUGCUCUUGUUUUGGAUUGUAACUUCCAUGAUUUGAAUGAAACUAACACGGACUAACGUUGUUUUCACCACAACUACCAUGGUGCUGUUUUUGUGCAGAAAUAAAAGUUCUUGGAAUGGAACGAAAUUUUUUGGAGAAUUUUUAUGGAAUAAAAUAAAAAUACUAGAACCAAGAUCCACUUGAGGGGAGGCACGACGUGCACACAAGGCACGAGGGCGCUUCAGCCCCCCUAGCGCAGCCAGGUGGCUAGUGGAGCCCACGGGGCUCUGAUGACCCAAACUCUAGCACUAUGAAAUCCUAUUUUCGAAGAAAAUAAUCAGAGAGGAAUUUUCAUCGCGUUUCAUGAUACGGAGCCGCCGUCACCUCCUAUUCUUCAUCGGGAGGCCAAAUCUGAAGUCUGUUUGGGGCUCCGUAGAGAGGAAUUUUCGGUCUUCGUCAUCACCAACCCUCCGUCAUUGCCAAUUCCAUGAUGCUCUCCACCGGGAGUGAGUAAUCCGUUCGUAGACUUGCUGGUCAGUGAAGAGAUGGAUGAGAUUCAUCAUGUAAUUGAGUUAGUUUUGUUAGGGCUUNNNNNNNNNNNNNNNNNNNNNNNNNNNNNNNNNNNNNNNNNNNNNNNNNNNNNNNNNNNNNNNNNNNNNNNNNNNNNNNNNNNNNNNNNNNNNNNNNNNNUUUUUUUUGAGACCGGAGUUUGCAAACGCGGAAGAAUUUUGAAUCUACAAAAACUCAAUCUUCUUUGUAUUACUUCAACGAUACUUUCUCUUUAUAUUGCCUCAGUCGACGGUCACGUGUAGAAGCGCUUCAGGAGAUCUCCGUUCCAUGCUCGCGGCUCGUCCGUUUUCCUGUCGAGGUUGGUGAGUCGAUAUGCUCCGUUGUUCAACACCUUGGAGAUGAUGAAGGGUCCUUCCCAGGCGGGAGCCAACUUGUGAGGUCUCUGCUGAUCCACUCAGAGCACCAGGUCGCCUGCUUGGAAUGUACGACUCCUGACGUGUCGCGCGUGAAAACGCCGCAGAUCUUGUUGGUAAAUGGUUGAGCGUGUCAGUGCCAUCUCGCGCUCCUCCUCAAGAAGAUCCACUCCGUCUUGCCGUGCUUGCUCUGCUUCAGCUUCAGAGAAGAGUUCAACUCGUGGAGCGUUGUGAAGCAAGUCACUCGGAAGGACUGCCUCUGCUCCGUAAACGAGGAAGAACGGGGAUCACCCUGUAGAUCUAUUUGGGGUUGUGCGGAGACCCCAAAGCACCGAAGGUAGCUCGGUGACCCAUGCGCCGGCGGCAUGUCCCACUUCUCGCAGGAGUCGAGGCUUCAAACCUUGCAGAAUAAGUCCAUUCGCCCGUUCUGCUUGCCCGUUUGUUUGGGGAUGCGCCACAGAUGCAAAAUCCACUCGGAUACCUUGGCCUGUACAGAAACCUUUGAAUCUGUCCGAGUCAAAGUUUGUUCCGUUGUCAGUGAUUAUGCUGUGAGGUACCCCGAAUCUGGAGAUGAUGUCCCUGACAAACUUGAUGGCCGUAAGGACGUCGAGCUUCUAGAUGGGCUUGGCUUCAAUCCACUUUAUGAACUUGUCGACUGCCACCAACACAUGUGUGAAUCCCCCUUGGUCUAUCCUGAAUGGACCGACUGUAUCUAAUCCCCAUACUACAAACGGCCGAACAAGAGGGAUUGUCUUCAACGCAGAUGUUGGCUUGUGGGACUUGUUAGAGUAGAAUUGACAGCCUUCACACCGGUCGACCAUAUCUUUCGCCAUUUCAUUCGCCUGCAGCCAGAAGAAGCCAGCUCUGAAUGCUUUGGCGACGAUUGCCCUUGAGGAGGAGUGAUGACCGCAGGUUCCCGAGUGAAUUUCUUCCAGGAUUAACUGUCCCUCCUCAGGGGAGAUGCAUCGUUGAAGGACGCCUGGAACGCUUUCUUUGUACUACUGGCCAUCAAUGACAGUGAACGACUUUGACCUAUGGACGAUCUGUCUGGCUUGGACUUCGUCUUCUGGUAAUUCUUGCCUCAGGAUGUAUGCAAUGAUCGGCACAGUCCAAUCGGGGAUGACAACAAGAAUCUCCAUGAUCAAAUCAACCACAGCCGGUACUUCGACUUCAGUCGGCUCUGUCGAGCUCUUUGGUUGUACUGGUUCCUCUGUGAAAGGAUCUUCUUUAACUGAGGGAAGGUGGAGGUGCUCGAGGCAAACGUCACUCGGGACUGGUCUCCGAGUGGAUCCGAGUUUUGCCAACUCAUCAGCUGCUUGGUUUUUCAGUCGCGGAACAUGGUGGAGUUCUAGACCUUCAAACUUUUUCUUGAGCUUCCUCACUGCAUUGCAGUAUGUGGUCAUGGUGGGGUUCCUGACGUCCCACUCCUUCAUCACUUGAUUAACCACCAAAUCCGAAUCGCCAUAGACCAUCAGGCGACGGACGCCGAGUGCGAUGGCCAUGCGCAGUCCAUAAAGGAGGGCUUCAUACUCUGCCUCGUUGUUGGAGGAAUCAAAGUGUAUCUGCAACACAUACUUGAGUUUGUCACCCUUUGGCGAUAUGAUCACAAUGCCAGCGCCGGAGCCAUUCAACAUCUUGGACCCAUCGAAGAACAUUGUCCAAUGAGCCGAGUAGAUGUGGGUCGGUUGCUGUUGUUCUACCCAUUCUGCACUGAAGUCAGCCAGAGCUUGAGACUUUAUAGCUUUCUUGGCCUUGAACUUGAUGUCGCAGUAUAACAUCUCCAUUGCCCACUUCGCCACUCGACCCGAUGCGUCCCGAUUGUGGAGGAUUUUCGACAAUGUAGCAUCAGAAAUGACAGACACCGAGUGGUCCUAGAAAUAAUGAGCCACCUUCUUCGCAGUCAUGUAAAUCCCGUAGAUAAGUUUUUGAUAGUGGGGAUACCUCUGCUUGGAAGGAGUCAGCACUUAGGAGACAUAAUACACUGGCCGCUGAACCUUGUAUGCUUUGCCUUCUUCUUCCCGUUCGACUGUGAGAACAGUGCUGACGACUUGAUUUGUAGCCGCGAUGUAGAGAAGAAGGGGCUGUUUACUGAGCGGAGCAGCAAGAACCGGCUGGGUGGAAAGUAGGACUUUGAGAUCGUCGAAUGCGACUUGGGCUUCGUCUGUCCACUCGAAAGUAUCUGAUUUCUUCAUAAGUCGGUACAGAGGAAGCGCCAUCUCGCCGAGUCGACUGAUAAACCUGCUCAAAGCCGCUAGGCAACCUGUGAGCCUUUGAACGUCGUGUAUUCUGACCGGCCGCUCCAUUCGAACGAUGGUCCCGAUCUUUUCGGGGUUGACAUUGAUCCCUCGUUCGGAAAGGAAGAAACCGAGUAACUUUCCGCUGGGAACGCCGAAUGAACACUUGGCUGGGUUGAGCUUGAUAUCGUACCUACGGAGGUUAGCGAAUGUUUCUGCCAAGUCAGUCAGCAGGUCGGAACCUUUGCGUGACUUGACUACGAUAUCAUCCAUAUACGCCUCCACAUUCCGACCGAUCUGGUCGAGGAGGCAUUUUUGGAUCAUGCGCAUAAAGGUUGCUCCUGGAUUCUUCAAACCAAAUGGCAUAGUGAUGUAGCAGAAGCACCCGAAUGGGGUGAUGAAGGCUGUUUUAAUUCAUCGGGGCCAUACAGACGGAUCUGAUGAUAGCCCGAGUAGGCAUCAAGAAAUGACAAACGCUCGCUACCUGCAGUCGAAUCGACAAUUUGAUCGAUGCGGGGGAGCGGAAAAUGGUCUUUCGGGCAGACCUUAUUGAGAUGCUUGAAGUCGAUGCACAUUCGGAGCGACUUGUCCUUCUUGGGAACCAUGACAACAUUGGCGAGCCACUCGGAGUGGUGUACCUCGCGAAUGAAGUUGGCUGCCAAAAGCUUGGCCACCACUUCUCCGAUUGCCUUCCUCUUGUGCACGGCGUUCCAAUGCAGGCGUUCUCGGACAGGCCGAGCGGCGGGAUCCACAUGCAGUCGGUGCUCAGCCAACUCCCUGGGUACACCUGGCAUGUCAGCGGGCUUCCAUGCGAAGAUGUCCCAGUUCUCACGGAGGAAUUGGAUGAGCUCGACUUCCUAUUUAGGAUCGAGGGUGUUGGAGAUGUUCGUCGGGGCAGCGGUGUCGUCCGUCGGGUGGAUGCUGACCUUCAUCGUCUCUCCCGCCGACUGGCAUGCGGACUCCGAAGCUGGUUUCUUCGAACACAUCAAGUCAGUGGGUUCAAAUGUUUUCUUGUACUCGUCAAGCUCGAGGACAGCCAUCUGCUGAUCGGCGAUCCUUGAUCCCUGCUGCAGACACUCCUCGGCCUGCUGCCGAUUGCCUGUGAUAGUAAUCACACCUUUUGGGCCUGGCAUCUUCAGCUUCAGGUACACGAAACAUGGGCAGGCCAUGAAACGCGCAUACGCCGGGCAGCCCAGAAUUGUGUGGUACGCGCUCUGGAAGUCCACCACCUCGAACGUCAGCUUUUCCUUGCGGAAGUUCUUGUCGGAGCCGAAGACGACGUCCAACGCGAUCUUGCCGAGUGACAUGGCCUUUCGUCCAGGGACGACUCCAUGGAGCUGCAUGCUGCUCUCGCUGAGUUUGGACAUCGGAAUGCCCAUCCCCUUGAGAGUGUCAGCGUACAUGAUGUUCAAGCCACUGCCGCCGUCCAUGAGGACUUUGCGCAGUCGGACUCCUUCCACCACCGGGUCGACGACCAGAGCCUAUCUCCAUGGGGUGGGUACGUGUGCUGGAUGAUCCGACUGAUCAAAGGUGAUCGCAGUCUGAGACCACUUGAGGUACGUGGGGUUGAUCGGCGUGGCCAUGUUCACCUCCCUGUUCACCAGCUUCAGUCGACUCUUGCUCUCAACGUCAGCAAAAAUCAUCAGUGUUGCAUGGACUUCGGGGAACGGAUCCUCCUUGUCCUCCUCAUCCUGUUCAUUGCCCUUUUCACUCGGUUGCCCUUCGCCGAACCCCUGGAUCAGGAGGCGACAUUGCCGAGUGGUAUGCUUCGGAUAUAUGGCGUUGCCCUCUUCAUCCAUCUUCGUGUGAAUCGGACAUGGCUGGUCCAGGAUGGGGUUUCCGAACUGCUUCUUCUUGGGGGUGAACUGAGCCUUCCCUUGAACUUGGCAUUGGUAACAGCUGCGGCCUCUGCCUGCGGAGUGGACGGAGCUUUCUGCUUCUGCUUCCAAGUGCUAUUCCCAUCUCCAUCGGCGACUGCUUUGUCCUUGCCGCUACGAAUGCGGUCCUCUUCUUCGCCAUUUGCAUAGCGUGCCACUAUCUCCAUCCUCUUACUCAUGGAGAUGUCGCCUGUUCGACCGAACUUCAGGUAAAGAUCUAUGUACCGCACGCCUGCCUUGAAGGCGCAGACUGCUUGGUGCUCUGUGACGUUCUCCACUGUGUGGUAGAGGUCGUCCAACGCUGAAUGAAAUUGCACAGGGGCUCAUUCUGCUUCUGGACACAGUGCUGGACCUCCACGAGGCCAGCAGGGCGUUUGCACGUCCCUUCGAAGGUCCUGAUGAAGACUCGGGCCAGAUCUGCCCAGCUGUAGAUGCUUGAGGGAGCCAACUGGUUCAGCCACGCUCGUGUCGAGCCGUCGAGCAUCAGAGGGAGGUGUUUCAUGGCGACGUGGUCGUCCCCUCCUCCGAUCUGGACUGCCACUCGGUAGUCGUCCAGCCACAUUUCUGGCUUGGAUUCUCCUGUAAACUUGCUGAUCCCCGUCGCCAAUCGGAAGUUGGGAGGGAUGUCAGCCGAACGGAUGGCUCGACUGAAACACUCGGGACCAGAGACGAUGGUCCUGCUUCCACUUGGACGGUCCAUAUCGUGACCAUCGCGGUGGGGUCGGCCCUUGUCGACCCUCCUCUGGGCGAUAUGCCCUCUCGCGUCGGGCCUCAGAUCAUAAGUGUCACCGACUGAACGCCGAUCAUCAUGAUGUCGGGGCCCGUAGGGCCCACCCCACGGAGGGGUGCGUGAGCGGCGAUGAUCUUCGGGAUUCAUGGAACGGCUGUCUCCCAUGUGUCACUAAUGAGAACCGGGGCUGUGAAUUGACCGAUGCGUGUUCACGUGAACAGAACUAUUGUGAAUCCUGUUGUGCGAUUGGGAGACCGCCGAAUUUUUUUGCUGCGCCGUGUGCAGCAGGGCACGGAUUUUCUCGAUCCCUCUGCCAGCGUCUGAAUCAGUCGGCUGGAGGGAAUCCUCUAUCUUGGCGGCGGCAGCGAGGUUGAGGAUGGAUGUGCGGAACACCCCCACGUUGCUCCGCCGAGUGUGCCGACUGGCAGAACGGCGGGGCUUACGGCGAGCGCCGGAUGUUUCGCUGACCUCGUGCUCGUUCCGGCCAGUUUGGCGGGGACUUUCAUGGGAGUUGGCCAUGUGCACUUCAGUUGCAGGCCCGCGACCCAAGUACUCGAAAGGAAACUCAGUCGGAACUGAGUCCGAGCGCUGGGACGGCGGCGCAACCACAACUGACUCUAGGACCGCCACUUGUGAGGACGCGUUCUGGCGCGCCUGGGCGUGUUGCACCCAACGCUGGAGCCGCGGACGGCGGGCCCGCUUGUUGCGGCAUGUGACGGCGGCAUAGGUCGACACCGGAGCCGACUGCUGGAGAAGAAGAAUAUCGCGGGCGCCGGCACGGAAGUGCAUAGCCCCGCGACUGGGGAGCGCCUCGACGUCGAGAGGGGCGUCCCGAAGCCAUGCCGAAUCAUCGACGAUGAAGGAGAGAGCGCCGAAGAGGAUCUCGUUACCCAUGCUCAAAUCUCCACCGGAUGACAUGAUGAAAAGAUGUAGUCGCAAACUCGCCGGAAGUCGCUUAGACGCCUGCCCCACGAUGGGUGCCAACUGUCGUGGGUAUAAGUCUGACAGUAGAUGUGUAGGGUACGAAAGGAUGGGCAGAGCCUUAGCUACGGCGAGGUUGUAUGAGUUCAGGCUCCUCUACGGUGGAGGUAAAAGCCCUACGUCUCAGUGCUCUUGGAUCUUGUUGUCGAGUGGAAUAUGGAUUACAGUGAAUUGCUAACCCCUGCACGAGUGGGGAAGGGCGGCUUAUAUAGAGUGCGCUGCCCUUCACAACGGUUUGGUGCACAGGGGUGGAGUAGUGGCAAAUAAAUGCCUACGUUAUAGGUAACGUAUGUCUUAAAUGCUAAUAAAGGUACAUGGAAACGUAUGACCGUUGCCCUCCAGGGGGGUUACGAUGCACAGAGUGGAAUCCAGUCGGUAAGCUCGAUACGCUCCGAAUGCUCAUCUCCCACUGGAUGAUGGUGGAAUCGUCACCGACUGGAUGAUGGGAAGUCCUUAAUUCAGUCGGAACUGACUAAGGGCCUNNNNNNNNNNNNNNNNNNNNNNNNNNNNNNNNNNNNNNNNNNNNNNNNNNNNNNNNNNNNNNNNNNNNNNNNNNNNNNNNNNNNNNNNNNNNNNNNNNNNUCCUCCUCCUCCUCCUCCUUUUUCUUUUACUUCUUAUUCUCUUCUUGCUUCUUCUCUUUCUCUUCAUCUACGUAGCUUAGACUCAUCCAACAAAGACUAAAUUGGCUAAUUAUCCUACAAAAUGACAUAAUUAGCUUGGUUAGGUGAAAACAUCAUAAGAACCUUGGUUAGCUCAAUAAAAUGACCAAUUUCUCUAAAAAAUGAAAUAAUAAGCUCAAAAUGGCAUAAGAACCUUGGUUAGCUCAUGAAUAUUCUAUACUUAGCUUGGCUUCCACCUAAAUGAUAUAAUUAGCCAAUUUAGCUCCAAUAUGGCUUAAUAAGCAUAGUUAGCUCCAAAAUGACAUAUUUAACCCAAGUGAGCUCCGAAACGACCUAUAGUUAGCUAGGCUUCCACCUAAAUGACGUAAUUAGCUUAGUUAGCUCCAAAAUGACCUAUUUAAUAAAAUAAAUGACCUAUAGUUAGCUAAGUUCUCUCCUAAAUGACAUAAUAAGGCUUACGUAGCUGCAAGAUGACCUAUUCCCCCUAACUUAGGUAUUAAAUGGCCUAUAAUUAGCUUAGCUAGAUCCAGGGGGAAUGGCUUAAUAAGCAUAGUUUGCUCCGGAAUGACAUAUUUAAACCAAGUAGCUCCGAAAUGACCUAUAGUUAGCUAGGCUUCCACCUAAAUGACAUAAUUAGUUUAGUUAGCUCCAAAAUGGUCUAUUUAAUAAGACAUGACCUAUACUUAGCUAAUUAUCCUCGAAAUGACAUAAUUAGCUCCAAAAAGGCAUUCUUAGCUAAUUUAGCCCGAAGAAGGGGACACGAGGAGAAGAAAGAGGAAAAAUGAAAAGAAGGAAGAAGAAGAAGUAGAGAAGAAACAGAAGAGAAUAAGAAGGACAAGAAGAAGGAGAAGAAGGANNNNNNNNNNNNNNNNNNNNNNNNNNNNNNNNNNNNNNNNNNNNNNNNNNNNNNNNNNNNNNNNNNNNNNNNNNNNNNNNNNNNNNNNNNNNNNNNNNNNGGUCACAAGAGAUAUACAAGAAAAUAUCAUGUGGUGUAUGCUCUUUGUGAAUGAUGCGAUGCUAGUCGAUGAUAGUCAGAUGGUGGUUAACAGGAAACUAGAGCUAUGGAGACAAAUUUUAGAAUCAAAAAGUUUUAGGCUUAGUAGAACUAAAACUGAGAAGACAAGGUGUGGUUUCAAUACUACUAGACAUUAGGAGGUUAACCUUGAUGGACAUGUGAUACCUUAGAAGGACACCUUUCAAUAUUUGGGGCCAAUGCGUAGAAGGAUGGUGAUAUCGAUGAAGAUGUGAGUCAUCAAACCAAAACCGUAUGGAUGAAGUGGUGCCAAGUUUCUAACGUCCUCUGUGACAAGAGAGUGACACAACAACUAAAAGGCAAAUUCUAGGACGACGAUUCAACUCGCAAUGUUGUAUGGCAGCGAUAUGUUCAACAAUAAGGUGUAAGAGAGGUAUGCAUGUUAAGAUGAAUGUGUGGCCACACAAGAAUGGAUCCGUAUGGAAUGAUUAUAUGUGUGAGAGCGCUGGGAUAGCACCGAUUAAAGAGAAGCUUGGCCGACAUCUUCUAAAGUUGUUUAGGCAUAUACUACACACGCCUUCGAAAGCUCUAGUGCAUAGCGGACGAUUAAAUUGUGUUGAUAAUGUCAAGAGAGGUCGGGAUAGAUCAAACAUGACAUGAAAGGAGUUUGUAAAGAGAGAUAUGAAGUGAAGCACUAAAAUAUCACAAAAGAACUAGUCGUGGAUAAAGCUGCGUGGAAGUUAGCAAUCCGCGCGUCAGAACCAUGAGUUGGUUUCAAGAUCUUAUGAAUUUUCACUCUAGCCUACCCUAACUUGUUUGGGAUUAAAGACUUAAUUGUUGUUUGUUUUGGGGUGCUUCUGGUGAACUUUUGUAAUAGUUCCGAGUUAUUUUCGCAAAAGGAAAAUGUGAAACACUAGACCACUUCAAAUUCAUUAAUGCUAGGAUCCUAGCACAAAAGUGGAUCAUAUGGCUGAUGAAGAAAACUGUAUGAACAUCCAUCUGUAGGUACACACCUCAAAUUCUAACCUAUAAACGAAUCCCACCUGUACCUACUAUUUUCUUAUAAGAAAUCAAUUUCAUUAUUCACCACGGGCGGUGCUCUUAGUCAAAUAAGCCCGUUAUGCUCCCUAACAAAAGCAAGUAGGAGUAGGAGUAGUUUCACCUCCUAUCCAAGUGCUGAUAAUUUCCACAAGAUAUCAUUCCAGGAUUCAGUUCGUGCAUGAUAAUGCUAGCCAUGUGCUGCAACUUUGCACGCAGCAGACACACACACACGCACGCGCUCGUGCGCACGCCCACACACAGACAUAGUGCUGCAGUGCACACAUCCCACUAAGAAUCUAACAUGGACCAACCAGAUAGGCAGAGAAUUUAAUGGCGUUAUUUAUAUAUUUCCCAAAUUGUCGUUACUCUUGUAGGCUAGCAGCUAGUACAAAUUUCAUACUAAGAGACAUGUUUGAAUCAAAUCGUGGUUUAAUUAAGAGCAAAGUUCACUGACCUGGGAUGGCGCUAUUGGUGCAGCAGCAUAUGUGGGCAAAGUAUAUGUCAACGCCUAAGUCGACAUGGUAAUAAGCUUGUCUGCCAUAACCGGAGCCUAACAGAACCCUGCACCCAAAAAAAUAAGGAUCGUGCACCACCCAUGGUAGAGGUGCUCCAACAGGGUAGGUGAUUGGAUGAGGCCUAUAUACCUAGGUGAGCACAUGUAAACAGUAACCUCUGGAAGGCAGGUAUCAUGUACCCUUCUAUAUAUAAUCAGAAAAGACUGAAGAUCACGACUUGCCAAUGAUCCCACUACAUCGUCAUACACAGAUCUUUCAUAAAUCUGGCUGUAUUUGAUUAUGAAGAAUUGGAGAUGCAGGCACGAUCAAUGGUCCACUGCAACAUAGUGCCUAUUCAUGUUCUCAAGUCUUAACAACCAACCGACAAUGUAUUUUCUAACAGACAGGUCUCAAAACCCAUAAUGCAAAUUCAUGCUCUCACUAGUCAGUAAAUGUGUAUAAUAAUCAUCAGAGAAGGUACACAUUUCUUAGCUGGUUUAGAUCCAUCUCAUUUUAUAAGCAAUUAUCUCCCCAGACAUUAUCCACUGAUUUACUGACUUACAUAUCUAUCUCAGGAAUUAUAAUCCUAGUUCUGUAAGCUAGGUAGCCUACUAUUAGAAAACUACUAUCAACUCCAACAUUUCUCAACCAUCUGAUGCUGGACCACAAAACCAUGUGUAGGACCUUCAUAUGCAGAUUCAAUGGCCAGAGGGCCUACAGAAGGUGAUCUGUUUGAUUCCAUGCAGGAAAAGGCCUAAUCACUUUUUUAAGACUAGGGUGAGGAGCACAAAAAUUAGUACUGUAGGUGACAAGACAUGUUUCUAACAUACUGCUUAUACAACCAGCUACAGUAAGAUUUCCAAAUGCAAGCAUCCAAAAGCAAUUGAGAUGUGGGAAACUGCUUGAGAUUCGAGUUUAGUGACCAAAGUAUGGCUUUUUGGAUUCUAGCAGGUGAUAAAAUAUAAUUAAGCUCUCCAGGUGUAUACAGUACAAUUCUGUGAGCCUGACAUCAAGUUAACUAACAGCUGUCCCUCUUAAAGUCUCAAGUCUUAAGCCACUAAUGCGUGGACAUUGGUAUCCUCCUUUAGACCUGAAAUGCGUGGACAUUGGUAUCCGUGCCACUUCUGGCUGAUAACACUAUGAGAAAGGGAAGUGCAUGUGUGGCACAAAUGAUGAAACAUAACUGAACCUUAAUUAUCCGUGCAUAUUGCUAAAGUGAUUUCUAGAAAAAAAAACUGAAAAACGGGCCCCUGCUGUGACUACAGGACCUUGCAGUUUCAACCCUGAACAUGGCAAUAUCUCCCUCAGUUGUUUACUUAAGCACCAACUUGUUUGGCAUGGACAUCACAUAUGAUAAGUGUGUACACUUCACUGUCAACCAUGAAUGUAGUAAUGGACCUAAACAUGGACACACAUAACAAAUUAUAUAUUAGAUUAAAAUUCAAAACAUUUGGUAACAGAACUUGAAUUUGAUCAUCUCAUAUUGGCAUAUUGCUGCUUAAGUUCAUCUUAUCAAUUAAAUGUAUGAAUGAUAUCCUCUUAAAACUUGUUCCAAUUACCUAUAGCUACAAUAACCGCAAUGAACUGCAAUGCCAUUUACAUAUUUAUCAACACAUCUAUCUACAAGUUGGUAAGACAUAUAUUCAGAAGUACGACAUGGCAGCUCACGCAAGCAUUAUGAAUAACUGGAACAACAGAUACAUAUUACCAAAUUCAUGCACAUUAAUCAAGAGAAGAAAUGCUUUUGUGUGUAGGUCACCCGUACACAUACCGAUCAGUUUAGAAGCAUGUGUCACAUGCUAUCAAAGUGAAAAGCAACUAGAAGUGUGCCUUGUCCUCUACAUGACUCUCAAAGGUGAAGCUUGAAAGUACUUCCAUAUCAAAUGUCAACACUUUUCUUAUCUUGAUAAGGGCCAUUAGGGGCAGCCCGGUGCACGUAGCUCCCGCUUGCGCAGGGCCCGGGGAAGGGUCCAACCACUUUAGGUCUAUAGUACGCAGUCUUUCCCAACAUUUCUGUAGGAGACUGUUUCCAGGACUCAAACCUGUGACCUCAUGGUCACAAGGCAACAGCUUUACCGCUGCGCCAAGGCUCCCCUUCUGAUAAGGGCCAUUAUUGUGAAAUAGUACCCGUGUCCUCCAGAAUACCUGCAAAGAACACAUGCAUAUAUUAUUUUUAUCUCGGUGUAAUGUUUAGCUAGCAAGUCUAACUGGACUCCGCAGUCAGCACUUAGCACCUUAAGGAAAUAUAGUUGAGGCACUGACCUUCAAAAGCUUUAGUCCUCAAAACUUCUGAAGAGAUUUCAAUUUGACAUAUGCUGGGAACACUGAAGACUGAAGCCCAAAGUGAGGGAUAAUAACAAGGUUCACGAAUUUCCCUAUGCAACAAAAAAAAUGAGCCUUUCUUCGCUUUUCUGCAAGGGGAGAAAGAGCAUUCUUUUACUUGAUGAAUCAUCUUGAAAAAGACAAUCCAUAAAGAAGAAAGUCAAACAUAGCUUGUGAAAGUGCAGUCAUGCCCUUAAUCGACUUUUGGUGUUAAUGACAACACAUACAUAGGGAACUAAUCCUAUUUGUUGAGUGUAUCUCAGGAUGGCAAGUACUUUAGUAGAUUGAGAAUUAUGUGCCAAGGUGGUCUGAGAAGAUCGGGACUUAUAUGUCAAGAAGGCUCGAGAUUGAGAAAAGAUGAUGUAGACUAUCCUUUAAAUUUACUAUUCUUGAGUAUAGGGAUCCCGCACUAUUAAGAGGGGAUCACAGGUUUUGCGAUGAAUUUGCUCAUACUACAUCUCUACUUUUCUGCUCAUACCACAUCUUCACUACUCUCCUCUUAUCUCAAAAUAGAACCAAUGCCUCGGACAUCCGGCCUCCUCCGGACGUCCGAGGGCCGGACGUCCGACCUGCUUCGGAAAUCCGGAAUCCUAUACCAGAGAAAUCAGAGCCAUAUAACUCGGACUUCCGGCUCCCUCCGGACGUCCGAGGGCCGGACGUCCGACCAGCUUCGGAAAUCCGGAGCUUUGCACUAGAGAAACUUGAGCCAUAUAACUCGGACUUCCGGCUCCCUCCGGACGUCCGAGGGCCGGACGUCCGUGCACUUUCGGAAUCCGGACUCUUGCACCAGAGAAGUUUGAGUCGAAUAACUCGGACUUCCGGCUUUCUCCGGACGUCCGGUCCCUGUUCAACUAUACAGUGGUUCCAGAUAUAGUUACAUCCCUCGGACGUCCGACUCCUUGUGGACGCCCGGACAUCCGUGAACUGCCGGAUGUCCGACCCCUGUCUGACUUAAAGUGUCCCCAACGGCUGUUUUACUCUCCCCACUAUAUAUACCCCCCUCCCUCCAACACAGCUAGAACACUUACAAGAACACCUUUCUCCUCACUCACUCUUGUCUACACCCAAUCUUAGAUCCCAAGAGCAUUUGUGAGUCCCUUUGAGUGUUGUUCCAAUCAAAAGAUAGAUCGUCUCCUUCUCCUCCUCUCCACCAAAGUGAUUUGUGAUUUGAGCAAGUUUUGAGCAAUCCCCGUGAUCUUGUUACUCUUGGAGGUUGGAGACUCCUAGGCGGUAGGAGUCUUCGGAGAGGAAUCAAACCAUUGUGAUUACCCCCGGAAAGUUUGUGAAGGUUUGGAAGCCACCUCAAGGCUUACCACUAGUGGUUGAGAAACGCCUUCGUGGAGUUAUCUGAAAGGGAGAAUAGGGUGAGCCUUCGUGGCGUUGGUGUGCCUUCGUGGUAACAUCCGCCCCUCUAACGGUGACGUAGCUUCCCUCCAAGGAAGUGAACAUCGGGAUACAUCCUCGUCUCUCUUGGAGUUUCGGUUAUUCUUAACCCUAACUCUCUACUUGUGUUAAUCCUUAUUACGUACUUGCAUUUGAUUAUUGUUUACCGGUUGCCUUACUUCUCUCUAAAUAGCUUACUCCUUGUCAUUGCAAUUAUUAGGCUCACGCCCAUAUUCCGCACCUUUGCCUAAAAUUGCCAAGUAAUUAUUAAAAUUUGGAACUGUACCUAUUCACCCCCCCCCCCCUCUAGGUCCAUCUCGAUCCUUUUCAGCUUGAACAAGAAGAUAGCAAUUAACACGGUGCAUCUCAAAGACAAUUCAGUAUGGACAACUAGAUGGAACUAAAAAGGGAUCUCUUCCCCAAUAAACUAGGGCACCAGGCAUCCAGAUCAUUUAAGUCAUUAGGACCCCCAGAUAGAAGCAGAUCUAAGAGAAUUCUCUUAGCAUAAGUAUCAACAGAAGUUACCACCAGUUUACACAAAGUCCCACUGAAAGGCCACACAAUAAACCACCACCGUAGCUCUAAACCACCUAAGCUCGCUAUCUAAAUAUUCAAAACCAUCAAUUGGUUUCACAAGUGGUUUUCACUUUUCACUGAUGUGGCGCUUUGUUAUGACCAGAGGCCCGGUUAGCCAAACUGGCCCAGUUAUCUUAAUAAUAUUAGGGGCUUAGCCCAGUUUAUUAUAGCCUAGGAAACUUAUAUAUAGUCAUGUAAUCAACACUUUUGAGAUUAAGCAAAGAUCAAUAUAUUUUGAUCAGCUCCAACUACGAGCCGGUGCCCUAACCCUAGACGCCUCUACUACUCGAGACGGCGCCGUCGCGCCGGCCGCGGCGCCCUCGUCUCCUCCAACCUCCCUUCUACCCUUAUAACUGAAGGCAGAGGGCCGGUAGAACCCUAGUUUCUACCAGUUUGGUAUCAGGUAGCUUCGGUGCGAUCAUGUCUUCCCGCCGCCCACCUCAACCCUCCCGCUGCCAACGACCACCACCGCCCCGCUGGCCACCACGGCCGGCACCCCUUCUCUGCCGGUGUCGGUCACCUCCGCCGCGCCGGUUCCCACCGUCUUCACACCGGAGGAAGUCACCGAAGCGCUCCGUGAUCUCGCCACUGCGGUCCAGGGCAUCCGCCUCUACUUGGUUGGGCCCUACGGGCCGCCGCCGGCCGCGCCACGCACCGCUGCCACCGGGCCGCUGCUCCUGNNNNNNNNNNNNNNNNNNNNNNNNNNNNNNNNNNNNNNNNNNNNNNNNNNNNNNNNNNNNNNNNNNNNNNNNNNNNNNNNNNNNNNNNNNNNNNNNNNNNNNNNNNAGGUCCGGUUCCCGCCUUCGCCGUCACCGCUUUCGGCCUGGUUGGUCGGGUCGUCACCGCAGCCGGCGCCCGCCCUGCAGUACGGCGGGCCAUCCAGCUCCGUUGGUCCCUACACCGGCCUCGACGGGCAGCCGUUUCACGGGGGACCCAGUGCGUCCAUCGACCCGGCGCCGCCCCCCCCAUGCUGCUCCACACCACCGACCCGUACGCCACGGCGGUCAUACUCAGACACCGCCGCGCUUCGCCAAACUCGACUUCGCCACCUUCGACGGCACUGAGGACCCCCUCAACUGGCUUAAUCAGUGUGAGCAGUUCUUUCGGGGCAACGCACGCUCGCAUCGGACCGCACCUGGCUCGCCUCAUAUCACCUCCGAGGCGCCGCGCAGACGUGGUACUACGCCCUCGAGCAGGACGAGGGCGGCAUGCCCCCAUGGGAGCGCUUUCGCGAGCUCUGUCUCCUUCGCUUCAGGCCGCCGGUACGCGGGAGCCGGCUGGCGGAGCUAGGCCGACUCCCCUUCAUUUCCACGGUGCAGGACUUCGCCGACCGCUUCCAAGCCCUGGCGUGCCACGCGCCCAGCGUGACGGCCCGUCAGCGGACCGAGCUCUUCGUCGGCGGUCUGUCGGAUCAUAUCCGCGUGGACGUGGAGCUUCGGGGAUCGCAGGACAUCCAGACCGCCAUGUACUAUGCCCACGCAUUCGAGCAGCGGGCGGUGGCUAUGCAGCAGGCGUUCCCGGCCCAGGCACCUCGCCCACCCCCUAAGCCGGCUAUGUCUGCACCCAGCCGGCCUGACCAACCGGCGACAGGGACUCCCGCCACGGCAACAACUCGACCGUUCCGUCGGCUAACCCCGGCCGAACAACACGAGCGUUGUCGACAGGGGUUAGGUUUCAACUGCGAUGAGCCCUACGUGUCGGCCACGUUUGCCCACGCCUCUUCUACCAGGAGGCAGACGACUAUGUCGCAGGGGAUACAGCUCCCUCCGAGCUUGCCAAGGCAACGGCCCCGACGUCAGCCACCGGUCUCGUGGUCUCCCUCCAUGCCCUUGCCGGCAUACGAGCGGAAACAACGAUGUUGUUGCCAGUGAUGGUUAAUGGGGAGCGCCUCUUAGCUCUCGUGGACACGGGCUCUACGCACAACUUCCUGCCCGCGUCUACUAUGCGUUGCCUGGCCCUCCAGCCGAGGGGCGGCGAGCAGCUCCGAGUUACCAUGGCUAACGGUGACCGUCUUUGCUGCCACGGAAUUGCGCAGCAGGUUCCAUCCUCAUCGGCGACGAGUUCUUCACCAUCACGUGCGUCGGCAUCGACUUGGGCGACUACGACUUCAUCCUCGGCGUCGACUGCUUGCGGACCCAUCCUUUGGGACUUCGACGCACUGACCAUGACUUUCUGGCGUCAAGGGCGCAUGGUGCAGUGGAAGGGCGAGGGUGGCACUUCUCCAGUAGUUCCCUCUCAGCUGUCGACCGCCAUAGCAGCCUCCGAGCCGCCCCUGUUGGCUCAUCUCCUGCAGCGGCACGACGACCUUUUACCGGUGCUCCUUGUUCACAAGCCCGAGGGCUCGUGGCGUUUCUGCCUCGAUUACCGUGCUCUCAAUGCCACGCCGACGAGGGUCAAUUUUCCUAUACCGGUCGUGGAGGAGCUCCGGGAAGAGCCGCCAGGGCCACGCUUAUUCCCUACGCUCGACUUGCGUUCUGGCUACCAUCACGAUCACUUCGAGUUUUUGGUGAUGCCUUUCGAUCUCUUCAAUGCGCCGGCGACAUUCCAGGCCUUGAUGCACGACGUACUUCGGACCAGCUCAACCCUCCGAAGGCACCUUGGGAGCAGCUCAAGGAGUUCCGCCAACAUUUUCUAGACGUCCAGCUCGAGGACUAGCUGUUUGCGCAGGCGGGGAGAAAUGUUAUGACCAGAGGCCCAGUUAGCCAAACUGGCCCAGUUAUCUUAAUAAUAUUAGGGGCUUAGCCCAGUUAUUAUAGCCUAGAGAACUUAUAUAUAGUCAUGUAAUCAGCACUUUUGAGAUUAAGCAAAGAUCAAUCUAUUUUGAUCGGCUCCAACUAGGAGCCGGUGCCCUAACCCUAGACGCCUCUACUACUCGCCGCCUCCUCCUUCCUGCGCCGAGACGGCGCCGUCGCGCCGGCCGCGGCGCCCUCGUCUCCUCCAACCUCCCUCCUACCCUUAUAACUUAAGGCAGAGGGCCGGUAGAACCCUAGUUUCUACCACGCUUACACAUCAUCCGCACAACCAUUUUCUGUUCCCAUCCCUGUCCUUGCACCUACCAUGGCAAGCAUGAUGGUGCAAGGCCCCCAAGAUGCCGCAUGCACAACCAGCGGCAUUGACCCCUCUACAUUGUCACCCUCGCCUCUGCUCAGUGAUCCUCAGCCAUGCGGGUGACACCUCAUCAUUCUUCACCGUGGGCCGAGGAAGCUGCAGGCCAAAAAGUUUGCAAUUGUACGCCUCUUCCAGGAGAACACCUCAGCUUUCCACAUUGUAAAACUCACCAUGAGGUAGACCCCACUCCUUGGUCUCUCCCAAUGGCUCGAUGUGGUGUUCUGGGUCAUGGUGAUGACACAGCAAAAUGCGGAGCAGAUCGCCGUGAAAAAACACAAUGGGAGAGCCAUAGAGACUUCAGGUGCAGCAAAGGUACAGCACAGUUCUUGUUGUAGGAGUUAGCUGAUUGGUGUGGUUUGAGAAUAACUUGGACCUCCUCCUUGAUGAGCACAGAAACAGGGUUGGAGUGGAAGGGCAAGGCAUGGCAGAUAUGAAACAGCAGGGGGGGGGGGCACUGAUAUGCAAGACCUUUUCGUUUUCCUUGCUAGGAGUUAAAAGAUAGACAAGCCAUACAUGUACACGGUGCGGAGAAAAAGGAACCUUUCACGUUUCUAACAUCACGGAAAAACAUAUGCAGGUACAUUAUACAAAAGUAUGCGGAUGAGAAACAAAAGUGAAAUAUAUGUUCAUUUUACAUUCACGAGUACAUUAUUUACCUGAAAUGCUCUGUUUUUGUGAAACAGGAUUGGAUGAUUUCAGUUCAACGGAGAUUAUAGCUUUCACCAACAUUGCAAUCACAGCUAUAGUGGUACUACCCUGUAUGCUAAAAGCGCACAAACUGAAUAGGUAGUAAAGAAAGAUUAAGGAAUGACUAGGUGAGAAAGAGCACUCACAGGGCAUCAUCUCAUCAGCAAUGGCAGCAGUACAUGAAAUCUCCUCAGCAAUCACAUUAUCCUCUGGUUCUUAAAACCAGGUAAUGUCAGCAUAUAACUAGAAGCACUAUGCAGAAGUGAACAAUUCACCUCAGAUGGCUCGAUGACUCUUAUUAACCCAAGACAGGUUGUAAAUUAACAUGUUGUCUGUGUCAAAAGGCAGCAAUCUUCUACCACAAACAUCCCCCAACUUGAGUGCAAACCAUUGGUUUCUGAUGAUUUCGUAAUCAUCAUGAGUUAACAAUGCAAAGCACACAUAUCGUCCUUUUUCCACAUUCACAGCAGAAGUCUACUACUCUACUUAACAUUCCAAUAAGGUCAGCAAAGCUAAGACAAGAUAAAUAGUUAAACACAUCAAUAGUCUCAACAAAUGCCUCACUGUAGAACAACGGUUCGACCUGCUAUUUUUGUUAUCCCUUUUCCGGCCAUUUCAGCUCUAACUUCAGAAACAUCGGCCCAUCUGUCAAUGUUAGCAUAAAUGUUUGACAGGGUAAUAUAAUUUCCAGCAUUAUCUGGUUCAAUUUCAAAAAGCUUCUUCGCAGCAAUUUUUCCAAGCUCAAUAUCACCUUGGAGUAUGCAUCCACGCAACAAUGCACCCCAUGAUCCCGGAUGAGGUUUUCCUGGCAUAGACUUAAUAAGCUCAUAUGCAUCUCUCAGCAUCCCAAAACGCCCGAGAAGACUGACAAGGCAAGCAUAGUGAUCGCCAGAUGGCAUAAUGAAAUACUCAUUCUUCAUCAUAGCAAAGUACUUUUUCCCUUCUUCUACUAGGCCAGCAUGAUUGCAAGCUGUCAAAACAACUGUAAACACAGCAGUAUCUGGGGAGAGGCCCUCCAAAAGCAUCCUAGAGAAAAGAUCAACAGCCUUGUUAGCUGAACCAUGGAGGCAAUGACCUUGCAUCAUCGAACAGUAUGAGAACACAUCUCGAACUGGCAUGGACUCAAAUAAAACAGUAGCCUUUUCCAUGUUCCCACACUUUGCAUUCAUGUUUAUGAGACCUGCCAACACAUGGGCAUUGUUCAUAUCUAUGGAAUAAGUCGUGAUGUAACCUUCAAUCCAUUUUGCCAACAUGAUGUUACCCAGUUGGGAGCACGCUGUCAUCAGAGCAACAAUAACAAGCUCGUCCGGGCAUAUGUCCUCACGGAACUCAUUAAAAAUCCUUAAAGCCUCUCCAGGAUAACCAUUCUGUGCAUAGCCUGAUAUCAUUGCUGACCAUGAGAACACAUCCCGGUCACGUAACUUAUCAAACAGCCUUUUGGCAACCUGCAUAUUUCCUGCCUUUGCAUACCCACCGAUCAACGAUGUGUGCGCUGCAGCAGUUCUUUGGGGCAUUUCUUCGAACAGCCUCCUCGCACUCUCCAGGUCCCCGCACUUCACAUACCCACCAACCAUGGCGUUCCAAUGAACCACGUUCCUGUAUGGCAUUCGGUCAAAAAGCUCCCGGGCAGACACGAUGUCACCACAGUCGACGUAGACCAUGAUAAUGGCAGUCCAGGAAACGUCGCUGGGGAUGACCAUCGAGUCGAAAAGCAUCCGGGAUGCGCCAGCAGAGCUGCAGCUUCCGUAGAACUGGAUGAGCGCUGUGCGGACGAAGAGGUCGGCAUCCAGGCCGAGGCGUAUGGCUGCGGCGUGCAAAGCGGAGCCGGUGGGUUUGCAGCGUACGCGGGCGCACGCGCGGAGGAGGGGAGGGAAAGAGAAGGCGUCGGGGCAGGCGGUGCGGCGGACGAUAUUGAAGUGCGCAAGCGCAGCGUGGAGCGGGGAAUGGCGGGAGAGCGAGGCGAUGACGGAGUUGCGGAGGCUGAGCGGGACGGCGUGGGAAGGGAGAGCCGAGAGGAAGGAGUCGGCGACGCAGGGGGAGGCGAGCGAGUCGCAGGCCGCGGUGAAGCGCGCGAGGAGGGCGUGGUGGUUGUGGAGGCCAAGGCGAACGAUGCGGGCGUGGAGUUGGGCGAGGCAGCGAAGAGUACGGCAGCGGCCGAGGAGGGUAGCGACCGGAGGGGAUGGGCGGCCGGCGGCGGGGGUCAUGCGGCGGCGGGGGCGAGUGCAGAAGCCGGUGAUGGCAUUUGGAGCUGCGUUUGGCGUUUGGGGCCUGGGUGUCCCUUUCGGCUCGCAUCCUGGGCUCGCCUAAUGCGCUGUGGUAAAUGGACGGGCCCAAGAAAAAUAGCUGCUUCGUUCACUUCCUUUACAUCACACGUCUGUUUCGAUUUUUUAUGUUUUAUACAUUUAAUUACAUUCCUAAAUAUAUACUCCCGUCCCCAAAUAUAAGUCUUUUAAGCGAUUUCACUAUGUGUCUACAUUUGAAGCAAAAUGAUUGAAUGUACACUCUAAAGUAUGUCUAUAUACAUCCGUAUGUAGUCCGCUAGUGAAAUCUCUACAAAGAAUUAUAUUUAGGAACGGAGGGACUAGAUAUUAAUAUUAAUUCAAAAACAUGUACUCCCUCCGUCUCAAAAUAAGUGCUUAACUUUGUACUAGAUUUAGUAAAAACUUGAGUCAUUUAUUUUCAAACGGAAAGAGUAUUUAAAAACAUAUAAAACAUAUAAUUAAGUAUUAUAUAUAUAUUNNNNNNNNNNNNNNNNNNNNNNNNNNNNNNNNNNNNNNNNNNNNNNNNNNNNNNNNNNNNNNNNNNNNNNNNNNNNNNNNNNNNNNNNNNNNNNNNNNNNNNNNNNNNNNNAAAAAAUUAAAAUAUUAAAAGAAUAUAAAAAAUCAAGAAACCAUAAAUAACUAAAAACCAUUGAAAAUCAAAAAAUUCCAAAAAAUGCGUAUAAAAAUGCGAAAAAGAUAAAGAAAAUGGAAACCAUAAAAAGUAAAGGAAGGAGAAACUCAAUAAUACAAGGGAGCUGCUACGCAUCCACCGACGGAUGUUUAGUAAACAUCUGUCACCUCAACGGUCGUUGGAUUAUCGAUGCAGUCGUCCGAUCUACGUCCCCGCAUCCAAUAGUUCCUGAAACAGAGGUUGGGUUGCAGAUACUAUAGCCGCGUUGCAAAAACAACAAUCGUGCUGCAAAAAAAAUCCUGACACAACGAUCGCAUUGCAGAAAAUAAUUUACGUAACUCCUGAAACAAUGGCUGAGUUGCAGAAACCACAACCCCGUUGCAGAAAAAUGUUGCAGGCCAGUUGCGGNACGGUUCGCGAUCAGAUCGAGGCCAGAUUCAAUGGACAAGCGGGCGGCGAAUGAAUCACGCGAAUCAAUCAGUGGAAGGUAAGACUUUCGCAUNNNNNNNNNNNNNNNNNNNNNNNNNGAAGGAAAGAAAGGAAAAGAUCAAUAAAAAUUGAAAUCGUUAGACAUGAAAGAAGAACAAAAGAGGACCAGUCCAACGACCACGCGGGUGAUCCGAGGGAGGAACGGCCUGAUUUCACGGUUGGCCCAAACGUGCACAUGCGAGAGAUGACACGUCCGUAAUAGGAAUCAAUACGAGCGGCAAAGGGGAAAACCCUAUUUGUCGUUUUUUGCGUCAAAUAGUUGGAUAAACACACAGGGGCGCGACAAACAGGACCAGCCUACCUCCCUCUGCAGGCAGUUCCGGUAUGUGCUUCAUUUUUUAUUGUCCUUUUUUCCGUCUCAGUUUUUCCUUCUUCUUUUUUCGUUUUUCUGCUUUUGUUUUCUUUUUUAUACAUAUUUUUUAAAUCUAAGUUCAUGUUUUAAAUAUUUUCUUGAAAUUCAGAAAAUGUCUUUGAUUUUAUAAAAAAAUUCCAAAUUUCAAAUAUUUGGCGUUUUUUAAAACAUCCCUAGGUUCAAAAAAAGCUCGGGAUUUUCGAUAAAUGUCCGAAAUUUUCAAAAACUGUUCGCCAUUUAUAAAAAAUAUUCUUUUUUCACAAAAUGUUAUUGCUUGCUUUUAAUAUUUUUUUCCUACACUUUUGUUCCUUUUUCCUUUUCCGAUUUUUAUGUUUGACAUUUUAUAAUUGUUGUUUUGAAUUUUAAAAAAGUUCUCGUAUUCACAGUUUAUAUUUAAAUGUUCAUGCUUCAAAAACAUUCCUGCUUCCAAAAAGUGUUCAUCUUUUGAAAAGUGUUCAUGUUUCAAAAAUUGUUUUCGUAUUCAAAAAAGUGCAUGAUUUUUCACAUAAAUUAUUCACAAUGUUUUUUAAAAUGUUCUUCUUUUCACAUUUUACAAAAAUGUUCCUGUUUUACGAAUUUUUUUUCUCUUUUUUGAAAAUUUUGUUUUGUUUGCCAAUUCUAAAAUUAUUCAUGAUUUGAAAAUGUUUGGGAAGUUUAAAAAAUNNNNNNAAAAUAUUCUUCAUUUUUGAAAAAAACAAUCCGUUUCAAAAAAUGUUCCUGUUUUAAAAAGUGUACAUAAGUUCAAAAAAUGUUCACAAAUUUCAAAAAAUGAUCUUUCUUACAAACAAAAUGUUCCGUGUUUUCAAAUUUGUUUAUAGACUAAUAAAUUGUUUAUGUAUUUACAAACUUGUUUGCACUUCCAAAUUCAUUCAGUUUUAUAAACAUUGUUCUUGGUUUCAAAAUUUGUUCUCAAAAUUCAAAAGAUGUCUGUUUUUUAAAAAUUUGUUUGCUCUUUCAAAUUUAUUUGGGGUUUUCAAAAUUGAUUUCCUUUUCAAAAUUUUGUUCUCAAGAUUCAAGAAAUGUUCGCAUACUUAAAAAAUUGUUCGCGCUUCCAAAUUUGUUCACGUUUUUCUAAAUUGUUCUUGGUUUCAAAAUUUGUUCUCAAAAUGCAAAAAAUGUUCUUGAUUUAAAACUUUGUUCGUGCUUUCAAAUAUGUUCGGGGUUUUCCAAAAUUGUUCUUUUUUUCAAAUUUUUGUUCUCAAGAUUCAAAAAAUGUUUGUGCUUUAAAAAAUUAUUCGUUCUUCCAAAUUUGUUCACUUUUAAAAAAAAUUACUCAGUUUCAAAUUUGUUCUCAAAAUUCCAAAAAUGUUUGUGCUUUAAAAAUUUGUCCGCGCUUUCAAAUUUGUUUGGUGUUUUUCAAAAUUGUUCUCCUUUUUCCAAAUUUUGUUCUCAAGAGUCAAAAAAUGUUCGUGCUUUAGAAAAUUGUUCACGCUUCCAGAAAUUUUCCCGUUUUUUAAAAUUGUUUGUGGUUUCAAAAUUCGUUCUUAAAAUUCAAAAAAUGUUCAUGCUUAAAAACUUUGUUCGCGUUUUCAAAUUUGUGCAGGGAUUUAAAAACAAAUUCUCGUUUCCAAUUUUUUUAUUCUCAAGAUUUAAAAAUGUUCGCGCUUCAAAAGAUUGUUCACGCUUCCAAAUUUGUUCACGAUUUUUCAAAAUUAUUAUUAAAAUUUGAAAAUUAUUUUUUCUUCAAAUAAAAUGAAAAAGGAAUGAAAAAACGAACUAAAAAAAUAAAAUAAACAGAGAAGAAAAAAAGUAGCAGGAAAUAAACAAAACUUGGCCGGCCCAGUUGGGCCCCCCUGUGCGGCGCAGGGCUGCCUGCCGCAGUGAGCGGCAGGUAGGAGCUCCCAGACUAAGAGCUUUGGCGGGAGGAGACAAGGUGGUCAUCUCGCUCGCCUGCCUACAUACAACGGCCGGUUGUUGAGCCGUCCCGAGAAGUGACUAUUAUAUGGAUGUUAGUCACUAAAAGGAAAGUAUAAUUGCUUCAAUGGUGCAUUUUGCUUGAACAAACAGCGGUAGUUUGAUCAACAACACAUGCUUAAAGUAGAAAAAUUACUCAUUAGUUUUAUAAGUAGGGCAAAAAAUUGUUCAUGAUAUUUCUUGAAAGUGUUCAAUUAUUCCUUUUAAAUGUUCUAUCUAAUUUAAACAUUGUUCCGUAUACUUUUAAAACUCUUCAUUUAAUUUGAACAAUCAUACAUUUAAAAACUAAAAUAUACCCCCCCUUCUAAAUUAAAUGAUAAACACUUUUCAGAUAUAUGAUGGACAUUUUUAAAUACAAGCUACACAAUGUUUAAUUCACAGUGAAGAUUUCUAAAAUAUACUUUAGUUUUUAAUACAUGAUGAUUUAAUAAGUGCACGUUGAACAUUUUAAAAAUACAUGACAAACAUUUUUUAAUACAGAAUGAGUAUUCGUUUAAUGUUAAUGAAUAUAUUUAAUAUAGUAAAGAUUUUAAUGCAUUUGAAAACGUAGAUAACUGAUGGGCAUUUAUUAAUAAACACUGAACAUUUCCUAAUACAUGGUUAACAUUUUCUUCAACGCACGCUUGCCAUUAUUUAAUAUACAUAAACUUUUUUAAACACAUGAUGAGCGUUUUUUAAAUGCAUGGCAAGAAUUUUCUAAUACAUUGUACCUCUGCAAAAUACACGAGGAAAAAGUAAUAAGAAACAGAAAAGGAAGAAAAAGAAAACAACAAAAUAGACAAAAAAACUACGCUACCAAACACCAAAUAAAAAAAUUAAGAAUGAACGAGUUUAUGCUAAGACCAUUAUGUCCAUCAAGUGUUAUUGGGCUGACCCACUUCCCAACCAGAUAUUGAAGGGGUGACGUGUUAUCUCAUGAUAGGCGAGAUAUAGCAUUCCCAAAAGGAAACGGGCUAACUAAAAAAGAUUAUCGAUUAGCUAGAAGUGCCAUUGUUGUCCCAAAAAGUAGGCAUGUCAAAGCCCGUCACAUGUGUUGACAUCCCUUCCCUCAUUGUAUGAAGGGUUGGUUUCCUCUAAAAUACAUCAACCAAGCACCCCUCACGAAAACAAACCAACACAAUUUUUUGUCAAAAAAAACUUCAACAUGAUUUGUUAGAAAAAAAUCUAAAAAACGGUUGAGCGAAGUGAACCAUGGCCUAAUUGUCUCAAAUUAAGACAGGUGCCUCAUCGCCUGGUUUUAAUCCUUUCAUUAAUCACGGGUGUGAGGUAUUUUCAUAUGCAUACACUUUUCUAUGGUGAGAGUAAGACAUGUGUUUUUGUGGUCAGAUUGAUGUCAUUCACCAACAACGCAUGGUCCAAAUUAGCAUGUCACUAUAUAAAGUUUUGAUCAAAUAUAAUGUUGAUAUGUUUUAUCAGUUGCUCAUAAACAAAUGUCUUUCAGGUUCAUUUGGGGAUGAAUAUAUGCAUGUAAUGGCAGAGCAUAACGUACGUAGACCAACAGGGGCCAUAUGCCCCACCAACAGGGGCCAUAUACCCCCCCCCCUAGUUUUUGCACUCAUUGUAGAGCAUGCAAUAUUUUAGGUGUAACUAGUGUCUCACUAGAGAUUAGCCCCUCCUUCCCUACUAAAUUGUUCCCCUUCAAGUCAUGGGCACCUCUUAAAUUUUUCCCAAGCUUCGACACUGCAUGCGAGACUAUGAGAGCUUCUUCAUUUGGUCAUCGUCUUGGGUAGCAUGUACAUCACUAACAAGAGUGCAACAAUGGCUAUUCCAUCCAAGUGUGCCCAAGCUUAGGAAAGUUGCCAGCAUGGUUUAGAAUGGUAGUCUACAUCAUAGAGAAAGUGACACUACGAAACAUGAUAGAGAUGUUGGGCCAUACCUCCGAACAACACCUUCUUCCACAAACUUGAUCUCCACUUUAAAAAAUCGGUUGUGCACCAAAUAGGUCAUCCGCCCAUAAAAAUGGCCACAUAUUGCUCUCGAGAUAGCUAAUGUUAAUCUCUUCGGACCCUCCGCUAGUGUGUGGUCCAAGUCGUGUGCCAUAUUAUCAGGGUUUGACCCAUGUAUCGGUUUGGGGUUAAGUGAACAACACCGCUAAGUUUAAGGCGUCGAUUUAACCAUUUUAAAUGGACCCACUUGCUUCUUGAAGGCCUCUCCAUGCAUUAUUCAUGUAUUAAUGAUUAACCUAUUGUUCUUUCUUGUAUCGGUUGCUGGGGUGUUUUAUUAGGCAUAACUUUGGGUUUUGGAUUUUCGAUUCUAUAUUUAAAACAUCUAUCAAUAUGUUAAAAGCCAAAGUUAAGCAUAACCAAACACCGCAAGAGUCGUAGCCUCCAAAGUUCCAACGUUACCCACCUAAACUUCUUAAUUGAAAAUAUGAGGCCACCAGGUGAUUUUUGUGGUUUCAUAUAUAUGAGUGAUCCGUAAGGAGAUUUCAACAUCUAUUGAAUAUGAUUCUAUAGGUGGUGGAGACCAUGAAUGUACAUUUUAGGUGUGUAGUUAUUGUUCAAAUUUAUACAUUUUGUGUCCAGUUGCAAACUGCAGUGUCACCAAGAUUGUCCGACGGUGCAAGGGAAAUGGGUCUCUCGACUUAUUUUUAACAAACACACAAACUUUAUCAAAAUAAAAUAAUAGUUACAUCAUUUACAAGGAAGGGAACAACUUCAUUGAGAUGUUUCUCAAACCAGUGAAAAGUCAAAGAAAGUCUAGGCAACCUAGCAAGCUCAUGAGCAACUUUAUUUGCUUCUCUCUAUUACAAUGUUCAAACCUAGGGAUUGAAAAAUGACAAUAAAAAUGAUAAUAAUCAUCAAAAAAUACCAUUGUCGUAGUCGCAGUGUCCUUCAAUCUUCAUAGUGUCACUGACCUCUAGAUUAACAAAAUUAAUAACGAGUGUGUUGCAUCCCGCUUUUUGCGCAAGGGAAAGAUUAAAUCUGAGCACCAAAGCUUUAGCUGUCACGACAUCCACACACCAGCUGAUUUUCCAAUUUCCCUAGCAAUGAAAUUUCAUUUAUCAUCCCUCAAGACCGCCAUACUUGUACCCCUAAGCAAGUCUCGGUCAAAAAAAACUUGGACAUUAAGUUUAACAAACUACACAGGGCGCAUGCAACCCUCUUUUUUAAUGGUAGCAAUUGGAGUGAAAGAGCUAACAUAGUUCGUUGCAUGAAUCCCCAUAGUAAUAUGAUAAGCACCUUGAACUAUCUCUUCAUGAACCAAUUGAUGUCUUACCCGCCACACAUACCAGGUGGUAAUGGCGAUCAUCUCAUGACCAUUCUGAAGAGCCAUAAUAGAGAAAUCCUGGUCUGAUAAAUGGGUCUCUCGAAUCUAUCUCCCUCCAUGAGGUGAUACGUCCAACACAAUCUUGAUGAUGUAGGAAAAAUGGUGCUCGAGGGGUAACUGUCAACACACCAUAGAUUAGUUGUUGCAUGAGUCUUAAUUUUUUUGGUUGCAAGAGUCUUAAUGGUGGACCACAACGAAUUUCUUUUCCUUUGUCUUGAGCGGUGAAAAAUUGCUCACAUUGUUGUGUUUUGUUAAAAAUGGUGCGGUGAGCAAUCUUCAAAUUCUUCAAAAACAGUCAAAGGAAAAUAUUUUGUGUUAUGUGUCAAGAGUUUGUUCUAUAGUCCAAAAUCAAUAUAUUUAAAUCUAUGAACAAAACUAUCUUUAAAACAAAAAGUUUAAAGUUGUGGCUACUUGGUUGUCAUACUCAAAAACACACAUGUCAUGGAGCAUGUGGCGUUCCUCCUCCACGAGCAACUCCUCCAAGGACGAGGGUUCCCGUCCCCCACCCCGCCGAUGUCGAUUUGUCUCGUCUCUCGUGGCCUUAGGGCCAUGGAGGCGGGGUGGAUCCCGGCCCUUGCCGGCGGGAGGGGUGAUGCUUCAUUUUAGGUGUUUUUGAGCUUGUUUAGGAUUUGUGUCCUGCUCAGGAAGGUGGGAUAGCGGCGGCUUCUUGAAGAUAGAACAAGGUUCUAUCCGCGUAGCCUUCGUCCUCACGGUGCGUCUAGCGUUGUCGGAGGGUGUGUGGAGGUGUGUCUUCGACGAAUCUUGCAGGAUCCAAUCUAUGUUUGUCUUCCGUGGAUCUGUUUAGAUCGGUAUUCAUUCGUCAACCUUUGUAUGUUUACAUGAUAGAUCCUUCUCAUAUAUGCUUUUCUUCAACGAUGGAUGUUGUUUUGGUGCGCUGGCCCUUUUGAGAGACUUUCUGACUAUCUACUAGAGUAAAAUUUGUCUCGCUCCGGUGAGGGAGAGAUGGUGAUAACGACACGUCCUUAGCUCAGUCCAGUCCUUGUAGUCGUUGGACGGUGGUCUAUAGAUAUGAAUGUAUUUUUAUUACUUGUGUCAAUAGUAGUACCAUGAUGUUUGGUGAAUAGAUCUAAAGUUUUUUUUCAAAAAUACAUGCCAUGGUGACAAAGCGUGUUGUUACUGUUGGUUUUGUUGAACUCGGUUUUGUGCUUAGCAUGGAAGAGGGGCAAUUAACAAACAGCAAUCACACGGCUUGCGAAGCCACACGCAUGCACGAAACCAGAAGGCAUGACAGAUUUUACAUUGAACACACAUGCGCAGAAGUAGCCCAGCACAAGUAAGGACGACGCACAUGCAUGAUCCAAAAGCUAGUUAAUCCACUACUUCUGGAAGUAGUCCUCGGUCCUGCCCUUGAACCCGAUCUGGCCGAAGGUGAGCGCGAUGAACAGACCCAGGUGCCACGUCACCAACCACAGCCUGCAGUGUCAAUUACAUUUAACCUUCAGAAUCAAACCCCAAGUUGAAGCACAAGCAUAUAUGUACUGGUGGUUAGUGCGUGAACGUGUGACGAGUGGUUUGGGUUUAUCCUGACCAGAACUGCGACUGGAGAGCCGGGGGCGAGGGGAAGUGGGCGAGCUCCUCGCCGAUGCUGGAGAAGAAGAGCCCCGUCAAGCUGUUGCCGUUGAUCAGCGGGAUGCUCGACGGCGCCAGCCACCCGAUCAGCCCGAACCCGAUCACGUUCAGGUCCCUCCGCAGCCAGUCCCGUGGGAACCUGAUCGCCCAACAACGCAAAGCAAACAAUCCGUCAGUGACACAGAAAUUCACACGCCGAUGCAUGUAUGGACAGAGUCAUUUUUUUUACGUCAUGCAGGUGAUUCUGCCGUUCCUCUCCAGGUUCCUCGUCAUCAGCGGGUUCCUCGCCGACACCCGGCCGCCACUCGUGAAGCCUACGUACACAGACCCAGCAUUUCAGGACACACAACGUCAACGUCGAAUUGGUGACAGAAAAAAGCUAGGCGC